rnacentral:lncRNA from 1 species
UUUAAUAUCCACUAAUGGCUAAGGCAAUGAGUGAGAGGACGUGGUGGAAGGAAGAUUGAAGCCGCCAGGCGACUUGUCCACUGCAUCUGUAUGCAUGCCUCUCAAUUUAUUUACUAUAAAAAUAGGCACCGCUAGCUACUUCCCCUCUCCAAACCACACUGACACACUACCUGGGUACUGAAGCAUAUCACUUCCCCUUUAAAUUAUUACCCUAAAAUGGGACUCGGCCGCUUUCUUCUUGUGCUUAUAGUAGCUCUUGCGGCUGCUUUAUCACUGACCACUAUUCCUUCUCAGGCCGCCCAAUUCGACGAAGAGAAGCUUUUUAUUCCCAAGUUUCGGCCCAAGGUUCCCAAGAAGUUUCCCAAGUUCCCCAAGUUUAAGUCACCUCCUCCCCCGAAACCCUAGUUGGUCAUCCAUAUCAAUUGGGCAUCGAUCAAUCGUCAUAUAUAUAUAUAUAUAUAUUGUUGGAAUUAUGAAAUAAGGCGUUACGCCGUCGUCGUAUCGUAUGUAUUAUGGUGUUCUUUAUGGAUACUCUCCUCCCUUCCAUCUAAUCGGUGUCUUUUGUGAGUUGGUGUAUAGCCUGAAUACUGUGGCAUGUAUGUAUUUCCUGACUAUGGCAGGAUUAUAAGUUCUAUCAAACUAUAUUUCUGUUUUAAUUCCGCCCACAUUAUACAUAAGUCUUUAAUAUGUUUAGAGUAGAGUCAAUAUUCUUCUUCCAUAACAUGAAAAUGAUCCUUCUUUUCGUGGAUUGGAGGUGUGAAACAGUGAAGUGGUUGUGCUUCUUGCUGCCCAAAACCCACAAGUGAUAAAACCUAAUAAAAGAAAGGGCUAAAGAUGCAUGUGGUCGCCACUUGCCAGAGAUGGGAGGCGGCACGGCUCAAGGAUGGUCGGAGUUGGAAGAGCAGGGUGAGGGAGGGGAAGCUCUCUGCUGGCAGAGGCGAAGGGAAGGGGGCCAAGUGGUUGUCGUGCACACCACUUUCCCAAUAAACAAAUUACAAAUUAAUAUAUAAUUUGACGUUAAAAACCUACAUUAUUUAAACUUUAAAUACUACUUCAAUAAUUCGAAACUCCUAUAACUUUAUUACAAUACAUUUUGUAUAUAUAUUAUCUCAAAUUAAGUAUAUAAAAUAAUUGUUAAUAAAGAAUUUUUUAUAAUAACUUAUAUCAAAACAAACUUCGCAAUCAAAUAAAACGUGAAUUGUUGAAUGAUUCUCCGAUGGAUCUGUAUCCGUAAAAAAAAUAUUUGCUUAUUUUAAUCUAGGCCGUUAGAUCCUAAAAAGGAUGAAUAGAGAGUUGUUAUUGAACCUUGUUGGACCAAGGGUAGAUGGACCGAACGAUUGAUUGGAAGCUGGGCUCAAUUAGUGGCUGGUGGACGACUACAUGAUAACACUAGGGGGACUAGUGAAGUUGCAAACUUUAAUUUCCAGAUAGCUUCGUUUUGUUGGGCCACUGCUAUAAGAAUUAUUGGACUUGUGGAUUAUAUUAUAAAUGAGUAAAAUGUGGGUCCAUGCUAUUAUAGUUCUAAGUUAUUGUACUGCAUGCUAUUAUAUUUAAGAUUUUAUAUCGAAUAUUAUUAUCAUAAUAAUUUAAGUGCAUUUAUCGAUUUUUAUAGAUUUUCUCAGAUCCAGCAGGUUACUAAACUGAUGUGGCUACUACAUCAGAUAUCACAUCAGAAUGUAAUAUUAUAAAUAAAAAUAUAAAAUAACAUAAAAAAAUUAAAAUAAAGUAAUUUAAAUUCAAUAAUUUUAAAUAUUAAAAAAAAUUGAGACCCUCCUCCUUUCAAUUGGUUGCUAUGUGGUCGUCCGACUCUCAGGUGCGGCGACACCUCUCCUCCAUUGUUGCCACCAUUUACGACCUCUUCCUCCGUUUUUCUCGGUGACCUCCGGGUCACACUCCAUCGAUGCCUGUAGAGUUGGGAGCAGCGGAAUUGAAGGGUCAAGCUAAUUACGAAUGGGGUCUUAAAGCUUGUGCGGCAAAUUGAAGAGUCAAUGUUGGAGAGGAACUCAUUGGCUUCUUUUGUCUCCCGUUAGCAGCGGCAGACUCCCCUAUAAAUGGUCGGCCUCGAUUUCCCAUUAUUAACCUAGCUAUGAGUUAGAACCAACAAAAUCGCAUCCCUCAAAUACUUCUUUAUACAUCGGCCAAUGAACACAAAACAUCAUCUUCUAAUUUCUUCUUCCUCCACUGGUCUGUUGUGGGUUGAUUCAUAUUUCAAGCGCCACUGCUCGAUUUUAUUUAUUGAUUACGAAGUUGCAAUCAUAACCCUAAAUCUCCACUCGAACCCUAAUCGAAGUUAAAUCAAUGUUGAACUUCAACUGAAGCUCGACUGAAAUCUUGAAUUGUGGUGGCGGUGAAGCUCAACCAAGGGAAGAAGGAACGAUGACGGGGACGAACGCCUCAUCGGAAGAAGAUGAAAAAGAGGACGUGUGGAGGAGACAAAAUAAUUUUUUAUAUAUUAUUUAAGAGUUAUAGUAUGAUAUGGUAAUAUCUUAGAUUUUUUUUAUAGUUAGAUGUGGCAAUCACGUCAAUUUGAUAAUCUGUUAAAUAUAAAAAUACUUACAACAACGAUAAGUGCAUUUAAAUUAUUAUUAUAAUAACAUUCAUUGUAAAGUUUAAAAUAUAAUGAUAUAAGAUAUAAUAAUUUAAAAUUAUAGUAACAUCCACGUCAUUUACUCCACGUCAUUUACUCUGUUAUAAAUAGAGGGUCUGCGCAGAGUGUGGUGGGUCUAAAGACUCUAAACAGAACCUUGUCUUUUUAGUGAAUAUAUCCAAACAAAANNNNNNNNNNNNNNNNNNNNNNNNNNNNNNNNNNNNNNNNNNNNNNNNNNNNNNNNNNNNNNNNNNNNNNNNNNNNNNNNNNNNNNNNNNNNNNNNNNNNNNNNNNNNNNNNNNNNNNNNNNNNNNNNNNNNNNNNNNNNNNNNNNNNNNNNNNNNNNNNNNNNNNNNNNNNNNNNNNNNNNNNNNNNNNNNNNNNNNNNNNNNNNNNNNNNNNNNNNNNNNNNNNNNNNNNNNNNNNNNNNNNNNNNNNNNNNNNNNNNNNNNNNNNNNNNNNNNNNNNNNNNNNNNNNNNNNNNNNNNNNNNNNNNNNNNNNNNNNNNNNNNNNNNNNNNNNNNNNNNNNNNNNNNNNNNNNNNNNNNNNNNNNNNNNNNNNNNNNNNNNNNNNNNNNNNNNNNNNNNNNNNNNNNNNNNNNNNNNNNNNNNNNNNNNNNNNNNNNNNNNNNNNNNNNNNNNNNNNNNNNNNNNNNNNNNNNNNNNNNNNNNNNNNNNNNNNNNNNNNNNNNNNNNNNNNNNNNNNNNNNNNNNNNNNNNNNNNNNNNNNNNNNNNNNNNNNNNNNNNNNNNNNNNNNNNNNNNNNNNNNNNNNNNNNNNNNNNNNNNNNNNNNNNNNNNNNNNNNNNNNNNNNNNNNNNNNNNNNNNNNNNNNNNNNNNNNNNNNNNNNNNNNNNNNNNNNNNNNNNNNNNNNNNNNNNNNNNNNNNNNNNNNNNNNNNNNNNNNNNNNNNNNNNNNNNNNNNNNNNNNNNNNNNNNNNNNNNNNNNNNNNNNNNNNNNNNNNNNNNNNNNNNNNNNNNNNNNNNNNNNNNNNNNNNNNNNNNNNNNNNNNNNNNNNNNNNNNNNNNNNNNNNNNNNNNNNNNNNNNNNNNNNNNNNNNNNNNNNNNNNNNNNNNNNNNNNNNNNNNNNNNNNNNNNNNNNNNNNNNNNNNNNNNNNNNNNNNNNNNNNNNNNNNNNNNNNNNNNNNNNNNNNNNNNNNNNNNNNNNNNNNNNNNNNNNNNNNNNNNNNNNNNNNNNNNNNNNNNNNNNNNCAUCGGACUUUUAAAGUAAAUAAUAAUGGAUGGAUAACCUUUUGAAAAUUUUAUUCAUUGUUAAUAUUUAUUUUUAACAUUGCUUUAACUUUAACAUGUAAAAAGAGUUUAAGAACUAAAUCAGUCCAUGUGGCGUAAGACAUAAGAAUGAUAAUAUGUUGUCCCAUGUAUAAAUGAAAAAGAGCUGAUAUUGUAGUGCCAAUUUUUUAAUAAGAGUUAUAGGUAAAAUUAAAUUGAAAAAAUAAUAAUUUAAAUUAAACUGUUUAAUGAUAAUAUCUGUUGAACUCAAAUCAGGUCAAAAAAGGUAAAAUACGAAUUAGCUGGAUAGCUUUGGGAUAUUAUUGAACUCAAAUCAUGUGUAUCUAAACUCACCAACCAAGUUUCGAUUAACCCUAAUUGCAAACAUAAAUAGAAUGGAAGAGACACCAAAGUUGGUCACACAGUUUAAACAACAACAUGUCUGCAGAGUUUCCACAUCGUCAUAAAAAUUCAAAUCCAGACCCAAAGAAAUCGCCGUAGAUUUUCAAAUCUCGAUCUCAUCCAUUAGAUCUAGUUUUGAUUCAUGUAAUAUUGCAAAUUGGAGUAGGUAGUUCAGUCAUUUUAUUAUUAUUAUAUUCCCUCCAAAAUUUCAGCAACCACCACCCCCAACCGAGGGUCCGCCGUCGAUGCAAUUCCAGAUUCUCUCCAGUGACUUUUCUGGCAGUCUCAAUUAAAUUUUCUGUCCAGUCUUUGUAAUAGGUUACAAUGGCCUAUAUAAAAUUACACGAGUAACAAGUUGGAAAAGAUCGAAACCAGUUGCGGACGAGUAUAACCUGUUACAUGUAAUAGGUUAUAAUAUUUUUCGACUGAUUAUCACCAUAUGUAACAUGGUAUAAUCACAUGUAACUAAUUACACAAAAACUGAUUAUAAUCAUUUGUAACUAGUUAUGAUCACCGACCGAUGAAUCAGCGACCGGGGUCUGACCACCUUUGCCUAGUGGAGCCUGGAAGCUCACCUGGUGCCUUGGCUACGCCCCUCACCAUAAGACUCCCUUCUCACGGUAGAAUGAUUUGGAGUCAUCCAUUGCAAUUACCACCACGUUACACUGUCGGCAUCCAUUGCAAUUUGCAAGAUGUCGAUUGCUUUAGCUUAACUGUAAAAGACAGCGCCGCAUUAAUUAUCAUUCACAACUUAAUUAAUGAGCCCAACUCCAUUUCUUAGAGGACAACGAAGGCAAGUCUCCUCUCUGCGCCAAAUUUCCCAACUUUCCAACUAAUUAGCAUUGAUUCCUCAACCAACUCCAAUCAGCAUUACUAUAAAAAUACGUACCGGUACUUCUCCUUUCCAAACCACACUACUACUGAAGCAUAUCAGUCCAAUUAGCCUAAAAUGGAACUCAGCCACUUCCUACUUGUGCUUAUAGUGGCUCUAGCGGCUGCUAUAUCACUGAGCACCAUUCCGUCCGAGGCUGCCGAAUUCGUCGAAGAGAAGCCCUUUUUCAAGAAGAAGCUGCCCAAGUUUGAUUAUCCUAAGCCAUACCAUUACCACCACCCACUCUUCAAGAAGCCGGUCGAUCCUUUCCACAAGCCACUGAUUAAGCCGCUGCCCAAGAAGGUUUACCCCAAGUUCAAGUACCCUAAGUAUGGCCACUAUCACCCUGGACACCCUCCUGUUGAGAAACCCUGAUCGUUAUUGGAUCAUCAAUCAAUUGGUCAUCGAUCAAUCGUCAUAUUUUAUAUAUAUAUAUGAAUAUUGUUAAGAGUGUAUGAAAUAAGUAUGUACUAUGGUGUUCUUUAUAUAAAUCAUCUUUCUAGGUGAUCAAUGCGUUUGUGAGUUGGUGUGUAGCCUGAAUACUGUGGCAUGUAUCCAUUUCCUGACUAUGACAGGAUUGUAAGUUCAAUCAAAGUAUAUUUCUAUUUCCGCCACAUUAUAAGUCUCUACUAUGUGUAGACUGUAGAUUAGAUUCUUCAUGUGGGGAAUGUGAAGCCCGUAAUCUUGGAGUCAACAAUGAAAGCCCGUUGGUACGAGUCCAUUGAGUCUUGAAGAAGUGAUGAUGGCCCAUUUACAGUCAACAACGAUAACAACCAGCCGAUUUCCAGCAAUUUGGAGGUUAAGGGAGUGAGAUUGGAUUAUGCCAAGCUGAUUAAUAUGAACUCAAUAACAGACUUCGAAAUAAAAUGAAAAGAAAUAUUUUUAAAGUCGUCAAAAUGAAAUUAAUAUUGAUUUUGUUGGAUUUAUUUUUGAAAAACAAGUAUUUGUAUAUAAAAAAUAUGAAAAUCCGAUUUAAAUUAAAAGAGUUAUAUUAAUUUUUUUUAAUGUAAAUAUAAAAUUAGUUUCCAAAACUAUCCAAAUUACUUAUUGUUAAAUCUGGACCUUUACGUAUUAUUUGGUAUCAAAUAAAUAAAAAAUUCAUUUUAUUNUUUAUUUCAAAAAUGAAUCGCUUGUAGAUUUCUUUUUGAAAUGGAUUCCUAUGUUUGGAAAUGCCAUAUUAAAUCUUUAAAAAUAAAUUGAAUUAUAUUCCCAAAUCAGAAUUGAAUUAUAUUAAAAGUUUUCACAUAUACCUUUUCAACUUUCACAUAUACCUUUUCAGCAGACAUGUCGUUACUAUUACUUAUUGACUGGAAGAGCUUAUUAAAUUAGCAACUAUAUCACUAUACCGACAUACCAAAAAAGUAAUAACAAUUAACAAAGAACGAAUGCAUAUGGUGGCAACCAGAACAAUUCAUAAUUAGAAAAUAUGAUGGAUAUUGAAUGAAGAAGAAGAAAGGAGGUAUCUAACCUCUUUCAAAUUGGUGUUUUGUUGUCGACAACAAGAAUGAAAAGGUUUGACCAAAUAGAGAGUCGGCCAACUCUAGUUAUACAUAUUAGGUUUGUUGACUCUGGUGUUAAUUUAAGGAUAAUACUCCGGUGGAAACAUGUACCGGGUGCAAAUGUGACGUGACGAGUUCUGAUUGUCCCUCUUAAUUUUUAGCCAUAAAACCCCUUGUUACAGCCUGAUUUCAGGGUUAUAAAUUUUUAAUAGAAAUUCCUAAAUUACCCCUUAGAAAAUCCUAGAGAAAACGCUCUUAUUAAAAUAUUAGUAUGAAUUUGUGUACUAUUAUUAUCCCAUGUUUAGUUAUGAUCUUGUUUAUACAUUAAUUUCAGUCAAAUUAGCAAUUGAAAUGAUUGUUUUAUAGUACAUGGUAGACUAAAUUGGAUAAAUUGAUUGUUAAAUUACGAUUUAUAUAUAUUAGUCGGAAUCGGUUCAUGAGAUAAGUUGUACGCUAGCGGUUAGAAUUUUUGGUUUGAAUAAUAUCUUACUCGUCGAGUAGAAACCCUAUUUUGAAAUCGAAUUGAUUUAUUUAGUUCGAGAAUUUUGACUUCCUAACUCACUGUGAUAAGCAUUAGUAUUGUUCGAUUAAUUAGUCGUGUUGACUAAUAAUGUAAGUUGGAGAUAAGCCUUUUAAUUAACAAAGUCAUGAACCUAGUGGAAUUAAAUUGGUAUUGAAUUAAUUUAUUAAUUCGAGGAUCCGAGGAGUUUGACUGUUGGGUUGACCAAGUUCAAAAGAUCGACGUGGUUCGAUUUAAUUAUCUGGUUGGCUAGAUAUCGGAGAUGGAGUCGAGCCUUUAGUUUAUUAGUUGGGAGUCUGGAGUAAUCUGGACCGUUAGAUGGAUCCUACUGUGAGAAGUGAAGCCUGUUGUGGUCAAGAGAAAUGAGUGGGUUGCUGCUUGUGUAACAAUGGAUUUUGGCUGUGAUCCUUGAGCCCAAUUGAAGUGAUGAUGACGUAAUGGUCUUGAACUGUUGGAUGGAUCGAACGGCAUGUAAGCCUCCGUAACUAUUUAAGCUUGAGAAUAUUUGGCACUGUUGGAUGGACCGAAUCGUAGUGGCAGAUCCGGCGAGAGGAGUCGAUGGCGACGAGUAGGCUACAACAGCUUCUUGUUGGUGACAGCAGUCCGGGAGAGGACGACAGUCAUCGACGGAGGCUCCAGGUGAAUCGAGAGAGAGGGCAAUGGAGGCGGCGUUGGCGAGCUUCCGCGGUGGCUGGAGAUCAAUCGGUGAGAGGAGGCGGUCGGGGACAUCGGAGGCACGUCCGGCGCGUCGGUGGAUAAGGAGCAACGGUGGACGAUCGGAGUGAACCAUGAUGUCUGAUCGACCGGGCAGUGGCUGAAAAUCGCGAUUCCAUAAUUGCUGGAACUCGCCGGAAUCUGGGGAGAGCUCGACGCCGGUGAGAGAGUUCGUCGGAGAAGAUAACUGGCAAAAGUGCAGCUGUUGAAGGUUUGAUGACUAUUUCAUAAAUCUGGAAAGUUAAGUGACCUCUGUGCUGUUUCUAGAAAUUUGGAGAUUGGACUGUACUCUGUGAAAGUUAGGUGACUAAUCUAUAAAUUCUGACUGUUCAGAGACUGAUCUAUAAUAGCCAGAGUUUGAUGACUGGUUAUAGAAUUUACCAAACUGCUUUGUGAAUGAGAGUUCUACCCCCUUUGAGUUUAAACUUGUUGCAACGGAGUAUUUGGAGUAUAACUUGACCGUUUGAACUUCAAAUGACGCACCGUCAGAAGUUGUGGAUUUGUGGCAGCAAAGAGAAUCACCUUGGAUCCGAUUCUGAGAUGUCGUCUCGUCAAUUAGGUGGGUGGUUUAAGGGGGUAAAUUCUUUUCGUUGUCGUAGGUUAGGUUUUAAUUAAUUUGAUGCAUUUAGUUUAUGCCAUGAUUCCAUGAUUGAGUGUUUAUUUAUGUAAUGUUAUUACUUUGAUGUUGUGCAAGUUGAGCCUCCUAUGUAAUGAUAAGGUUAGACUAGCUAUAAUGUUAGCAAUAAGAUCAGGUUAGACUAACGAUAACGUUAGAACGAUUAUGUUAGAAUUAUGAAAAGGAUAGAUGACGAGUGAGCAAUUAACAAGAACACCACAUCUAGAUGAUUAAUAGGGGGAUUAAAAGCAUGAACUCACUACCUAGACUAUCACCCACAUGAUUCGGGCCAAUAGUGCCCGCACGAUAUGUUGUCUAACGGAUACGUUCUCCCAGACAUCCACUAUUUUCACGAUAUGUUUUCUGACAGAUACGUUCUCCCAGACAUCCACGAUUUUCACGAUAUGUUGUUUGAGGAUACAUCCUCCCAAAUAUCCAUGAUUUUCACGAUUUGUGCAGUAGGCUAGUUAGUUGAAUUGGGGGACGCCCCACAAGAAAUAAGUUACCUUAGAUAAGGUGAAGAAUAGUGCAGGAAUCAUGUUAUAUAUUGUGACUUACUCGAAUACGAUGAUUAGGAUAUGACAAGUUACAAGAACCAUGAUACUAGGAUUCAUAAUGCAUCUAACAUGAUUGACUUUAGCUUCAAUCUUUCAUGAUAAAUAUUUUUUAUGAUUACUUGCUAUGUUAAGUGCUUAUGAGGAUUACAUAAAGUGAACUAUUUUAUGUAAUAUGUCUACUCAUUAAGUAUUAGUGAAUUUAUACCAUGAUGUUUCCUUAUUCAAGUAUGUUCAGUUAUGAUACUCUUAUGAUGCUCAUAAGAUGUGCCUAUAUGAUUAAGCUACAAUAUGAUAUGAUUAGGUAGCUAGUGAACAACAAGAACUACUCUAAGUCUAGACGAUUAAUAGAUGAUCUAGUAAUACAUACCUAUCUAGCUAGACCUUCAAUCCAUGUUUUCGGCAUACAAUCUUGGACCAAUAGAGAUCCAAUACUUAAUUAAUUGGGCCAUUAGGGACCCCUACGAUAAGACAUUAGGCCACUAGAGACCCUUAUGUUCGUAUUGGGCCAUUAGAGACCCAUAGUUCCUCUUAGCCUGUCAAGUGGAUGGUAUGACUAGUUAGUUGAGUUAUAGAAUGAUUACAAUUAUGAUAUCCUAGAAGGAUGAUGCUAGUAGAAGUUAGACAACCUUAGUAAUGGUUGCAUAGUAGAAGAAAUGAAUGUUAGCUCUAUAUGAUUAGAUGAAGUUGAAUAACAUGUUAGUUGUGCCUUUAUGUAAGUAUAUUAAUUAUUAAGAUUAGAGCACGAAAGACUGAUCCCAGAACCACCCACCAAGAUGUUUGAUAGUUGAUGCUGGAGCAUAAUGGAACAGAUUCGGGAUGUGGAUUGGUGGACUUAGUUUAAAUACAUUAAUUGUUUACAAGAGUUAAACAAGAGUUUAUAAUGAGACUUGAUUUCAUUUUCUUGUUGACUUUAUGUUAUGGCAGUUUCCGCUUCAGAUCCUUGAAUAAAAACCUCUAUUAGGAAUCAAUUGUAAGAAGAUGAAAUUUCUCCAUAAAUUUAUUUUUUUAUAAUUGAUGAGCAUUUGUAUUAUAAACAAAGGGUGUGGCUCAAAAGCAAGCCACACAUCGAGAGAGAGUUAGUUAUACAAGAGAUAGGGGGCAGAAACCAAAAUAAAACACUACCCCAAACAAAACCAGAAAAACACCAGCAACAACACCAUGGUAACACAGAGAAACCCAAAAAGCGCCCCUAAUCAAAUUGAAAUUACAAAACCUUGCUUGACCUUGAAAUUAUACGAUAUUUAGUGUAUGGAAGAUUUAUAGACAAAGAUGAUUCAACAACACUAUUCCUAUGAAAUGACACUAUUCCUAUGAAAUGAAUCUCCAGAAUUGUAAUGGGAGAGGUGUAUUUGAAAAAAAGUUGAAGGUUUCUGCGAUUUUAAUGGCCAAAUGACUUCUUCGAUUUCUUCUUCUUCUCAAGAAGAAGAUAAGGGAAUAAAUAUAAAAAUAAGAAAAAGAUGAAGAGGUUAAUGUUUGACAAAUUUUCACUAACCAAAAAAUAUUGGUGAUUGAUUUGAAGGUUAUUUCAUAUCUGGACUAAGUCGAUAUUUUUUAAUACAAAUAUAAAACCAGCCAAUAGUAUACUGCCACAUGGCCUUUAAACCCGAUACAUGUUUCCACCAGAAUGUCCGCUUGUAAUUAUUAGUUGAAGGUAGAUAAGUCAUUUAAUGUAAUUAGUAAAUUUCUGUGGAAUUCAUUUCGUAAUACAUACUCACUUCUACGGAAUUACUAACACUAGUCUCAAUUUUGCAAAANNNNNNNNNNNNNNNNNNNNNNNNNNNNNNNNNNNNNNNNNNNNNNNNNNNNNNNNNNNNNNNNNNNNNNNNNNNNNNNNNNNNNNNNNNNNNNNNNNNNNNNNNNNNNNNNNNNNNNNNNNNNNNNNNNNNNNNNNNNNNNNNNNNNNNNNNNNNNNNNNNNNNNNNNNNNNNNNNNNNNNNNNNNNNNNNNNNNNNNNNNNNNNNNNNNNNNNNNNNNAGAGUGAGUACUUUGGUGACUAUGAUGGUGUGCUUUCUUGACAUUUUAAAGUUUAUAAUUUGGCCAGGUUCAGUUAACCCAAUAACAUAGCCAUGAAAACGAUGUCCCCACCUUACGUAUCGAUGUAAAGUUUCAAAGAAUGCCAAAAAAGAGUUCCAAUGGCAGUCACCAAUGACUCCUAGUAAUAGAUUACACAUACCACUUCAUACAAACACAUAUCAGAAACAAUAACCAGUUGUAUUUCCCAAUUUUUAUUGUAUUUUAUUCUUAUGAUCUUAUUAUAUGGGGAAAUACCAAGAUUUGGAUUGAUUUCAUUCACAAGCCUGAUUCAUAAGGCCUUUUCAGGGCAACAAAAGAAAUUAGGAAAUUUCCAUUUUUAUUAUUAUUUUGGUUAAUAUGAUCUAAGAGCGGACAUCCAUUGUAUUGUCACAAAUUUUAAAUUUUUUUUUGCCAAAUUUGAUUACACCCAUUCUAUAGUAAGCUUUAACCCAAAUCAAUUGGAGACCAGUUUGCGCAAUUUGUUUUUACAAAAUCGGCAUAUGCGUAUUCCAUUAUAAUCUCGAGAUAAGUAAACAUGCAACGUAUAUGUUGGUAGUUUAGGAGGUGUAGCCCACAUGUGGGUACAAGGGGAGUUGUAAUGAUCUAGGAUCAUAUACACCACAACCAUACUCUCAUCAAUAUCAAGCCAUUCAGAUCAUUAGCUCUAGACACCAACCAAUUACUACCAGAGACUGGAAAGGUCAAGCAUUAGACGUCGACUUCUGCAGAAUAUGACUAUAAAACUGAGAAGAAACAUGGUAAAAAACUUAAAAUAAAAUAAAAUCCUCAAAGAAAUAACGAAAAUAGACUGAAACUAAAGAAGAUGCAGGCUGCUAUUCUUGCCGGGGUGGAGUUGUUGUCAGAGCAAAUAGCUACUUUGCACCCCCGAAAAUCGAGCUAUGCGAAUGGGCGGGUCACAUCUGACCUCCCUGGUUUACACUUGCGGUCAUUCACGAUUUGUUAAGCUCCAUCUCUUCCGGCGUUAGAACUUUGCGUUCCCCGGCGGCCGCCGGCUUGCUUGGUCCGUGCGGGUUCACUUGCGCCGGGGGCAUGGUGAAGGCUGGGAUCGAGCAUGAAGGUGCAUUUAUUGGUAGUCAAUGAGGGGGUUUAGGGUUGUCGAUGAAGGCUAAGACCUUGCAUGUGUGAUUUAUGGAUGUGUCGUGAGGUGAGGGGAGGCGCCGGGGGAUGAGGAAAACCCUACACCAAGGUCGACAACUGCAAGCCUUGGAGAGAAGAGCCCUAUCGCAAUGUAUGAUCUCUGAGCUUGGUGAUUUGUGAUGGCGGUAAAGAGGGUUUGGGAAGGAGGGGGUUGGUGCGGUGGUGCAUAUAAUGAUGGUGGUGAAGAUGAUGAUGUUGGUGGUCGAUGAAGAUGAUGAUGGUUGAUAGUGCUAGGAUUUGCAGGCUUGAACUGCUAGUCUCCUUUUCUUCAUGUUUAGAGUUUGUUUAGAGUGCGAAUAGUAAAGUUGCUUCAGGAUAAGCAAGAUUCAAGUGUGGGGGAUUUGAUAGUGCUAGGAUUUGUAGUAAUUAUCUAGCCUUAUCUGCAUGCUUUUUGAGUGAAUAUUAGCUUGUUCGUACUUCAUUCCCGUGUUGUUUUGUGUUUUGGUAUUAUAUGCAUAGACCUGUUCACUUGGACCGUUUUGGUCCAUUUGAUGUGUCUCUUUGUAGUAUUUGUUAUCCACGGAUACUCUAGAGAUAGAGGGUCUGGUUACGAGCCUCUAGAUAUGGAAUAGAGCACGAUUGGAGCUCGGACGGAAGAACAAGAUAAGAAAUGGUGGAGCAAAAAAACUGCACGUCGUACAGCACUACACGUCGUGCAUGCCUAAAUUGCAAAAUAGCCUCGUAGCAAAAAGAGGUUCACGGCGUGCACUGUUUUUCAGGCCGCGACCAAUUUCAGCAAUAGCGGUGCACGGUGUGCAUCCCCAGAUUUGCAGUUUCCCAUAUAAAAGCUUGAUUUCGAGGAAAGAGAAUCAGACUUCCUCAUAUCGAGUUCCUUUGACUUUUUCACGACUUCCCCUCUGCAAAAAAAAAAAAAACAUUCUCCAUCCCUAGAAGUCCAAUUGAAGAUCAAAAGGAGUCCCUAUUCAAAUUGAAGCUAGAAGAUUAAAAACGAUGAUUGGAGAAAGAUCGAUUCAUCGUCUCCUCAUCAAGAUGAUGGUUAGGUCGAAUUCUGAUUUGUUUUCUUCCAGAAUCAUGAGUAGCUAAUUAUUUAGAGUUUUUUGGUUGAGAUGUAGGAUUUGAGCUAUGAAACUCUCCCUAAAAGUAAAGGGUCGACGAUUGUUGGAUAAUUGAAUUCAAAUGAAUGAUUGCUUCAAUUAUUGGUUUUUCAACCUAGUUCUUGUUACGGCUUGAAUUAGAUCAAAUCUAUGAAAUCUUUUAUGUGGUAGAUUUUGGAAUUCAUAUUAUUAACAAUCAAAGACGAAAGUUAUUCAUGGGGUAAGCCAAUAGCUCGAUUCUACCUUUCGUGUUUCUUUUAGUUUUAAAGGUUGUUCAUCUUGUAAUUUGCAGGCGCUCUGGUUUGCACCUAAUGGGCCAAGUUGGGUGUAGUUAUUAGUAGUUUAGGUAUUGAUGGACCAAGUUAAUACUAAUUUCGAUUACUCGUGAUUUGAUUUAAUUAUGAAAGAGCACCUUAUCACUUUGUAGAACUUCUUGGUGUUCAUUACUGGUUAGCCUAAAGAGCACCUUGUCACUUUGUGGAACUUCUCGGUGUUCAUUACUGGUUAGCCUAGUGGAGGUUAUUCCAACCUUGAUUGGGAAACUAGUAGUGGUAAUCCGCAUGCAUGAUCGUGCUGCGGAUUCAUACGAGUGAUUAGAGGAUUCAUAUUAUUUAAUCCAAGUCCAACAGUUGUUCGAUCCGACUGCUAUUAGGAAGUUGAGCUUGAUGAAUCAUCUCAUCCAAGAGCUUGUUUUCUCCCCUCUGAUCAAGCCUAAAUUAUUAGUUUUAAUCGAAUUAGUAGUAUAAUUAGAAACCAAUCUCAAUUAUUUUCGUCUAGACCGCGUUGACGAAUUUGAGUAGAAGGAUACGAGAAAAAUCUUUGGACACAUAUGACACUUUUGUUGUCGAAAUAACUGAGAAGUUGUUUUGGCGAUCAAUUUGUUGGUGCUGUUGCCGGAGAAUCUCUUUCGUUCCUUUGAAAGACUUAGUCGGCGAGAGAAAACAAAACCCAACAGGCGAGGGAAAUCAGACUGUUAAACGUUUUCAAUUAUUUGGAAACACACUUGUAGUCUGUUUGCUCAAUUUUGUUAUGUUAAUUGUUCAAAAUCCUAAAUUUAUACUUUAUGUUUUUGAAUUACUUAUCCAACCGAUUCGUAAAAAAUGGGCACAAUGUCAAAAGUUAGGCUAGUAUUGUGUAUUAUUAUUUCUUAAUUAGGUGAGAUAGUAUACAAUUGUUCCCUGCUAAUGGAUACAUUGAUUCCUUAAUAAAAAUUCUAUAAAUUACCAUAAAAAAAAUAGUGAAGCCAACUUUGAAAUUUUGAAUUGACUGAACAAAUAUUCCUGGACGACCAAUGACCAUGCUACAUACAAAAUUUAAACUCAAUUGUUAAUUACCCCACGUGAUGAUAUCAUCUUCUGACAAGUCCCCAUCACUUGGAAGCAAAUUAAACUUUAAAAUUAGAGGAUAUCAAUGGGAUUGAUGUGAUAGACUCAAGGACGAUCAAAUACAAUAAUUAUAUCUCUUUCUUAAACUAUCGCCAACUAAUUUAAUUCACUAACCCAGUUGGUUCUUCGAAGCUUCCUUCCAUCACUAAUGCCAAAGACUCGUAAAAUACUACAAUCCCCCAAAUUCAUGGUUAAUUGCCCACCUCAAUAAUUAUCUCCUUUUUUUUUAAUAACAUAACAAUACCAGGAAUACAAACACUGAUGACAUUAUGUCGCAACCAAUAAUAUAGAUUAUGAUCGGGUGAUGAGAAAAAAUGUAAAACUAAAUCAAAGAAGUGGCCAAGAUUCACAAGGUUGUCGGCCGCACAAUGGACUUCGCGAUAAAUAUGUGAAAUAGAAACGUCCAAGAAAGACGUUGCUGCUCUUGAGAAAACAUACCUGUGAUGGCAUGUUGAUGAGACAGAUUCUCAGGUUUGGUGAGAAUGGCCAAGGUUGUUCUAGAAUCCAUUUGAACUUGAAGCUUUCUGAUACGCGAACAACAAUCUAACUUCAUUCCCCUCAACUCCACUCAGGUAAUGGAGCACCUAUCCAAAUUAUGACCGAAUGCAUGCAUGAAUUGAAGGAAGGCACCCCGAUCUUUCCUUGUAAUGCCUCCGCCAGCUGCUUGGGAAGAAAGCUGUCAAAAUGACAUAGUUGUGCUUAAGGUAUACCCACACUUAUCCCCCCAACCGCCAUAUGAUAACUAAGUCCAUUGAGCUAAACUUGGCGCUUCUCGACUCAGCUAACCAACCUUCCAGUUCGAGAGGAUUCACAUUAUGAAAAAGUAUGUUUAUUUCGAGCCCGCAAGAGAAGCUAAAGUGUAACUCCAACCACCAGAUUGUCCGACGGAGAGCUAAUGCUGUCUGCCAUCCACUCGGUGAAAUUUCUUGAGUAUUCAGCAUUCAUAAUUACCCCCGACGGAGUUCCCAUUGAUAGGAAGCAAUUUGUUUCAACUUAUAUUUCGGUAUAAAUACUGGGCCAAAGCCAUUUUAAUUAAUAUAAUGUAUUAUUCCUGAAUAAAACCAAUUAAACUCCACCAAUAAUCAAAUAGGGCAAUCCACCGUCUGAGAUAAGACGUCCGACCCAUCGGCAGUCGACUAACAGAUUGUUAACGGAAAGGCAACAAGACAAUUAUUAUUCAUCUUAUUUUGGUGUUUACCUUAGUUUAACAGCUUAUGCCAAGCCAACAGUUGACCAAAGUUAUAUUCUCAAGCCGACAGCAUCAAUAUCGCCUCGAUUAUUGAAACGAGGAAGCAAAUCCGUAGUCCUGUGUAUCUGUUUACUUGGGGAGAAAUGCAGUAACGAAAUAGGAUCGCCGAGUUGCUUGCUGAUUAUCCAUUUCUGAGAAGUUAGUUAGUUAUUGGGUUAUAGAUUGAUUUCAAUGCUUAUCGUGUCCUUUGCAGGAUUGCUUAAUCGGACAUCUGCCAAAAUGGAUCCUAAAGAGGUGCUAUGCGGAGAACCAUAGGCGGAACCUUCAUCAUCAAAGGAUCUGGACCCGAAGAUCUCGUUACAGAACGUACCAUCCCUCAUGGAUUACGGGUUCAGGAUCGAUCAACCUUACCAAGACCGUAACGGAAACAACAACAACAACAAAGCUCCAGACUGGGAUCCAAGGGCUAUGCUCAACAACCUUUCAUUUCUAGAGCAGAAGAUCAACCAACCUUCAUCUAACAUCGAUCAUCGUUCAGCUGAUAUCCACAUCACUGGCAGCAACGAAUCCGAUCGGUCAGUUUGAGCAGUUUGGACCGAUUCAACAAAAACCACCCACUGGACCUGCUCCAGUUCCGAACCAGACCGAUUUGAUGGACCUCGCCAUAAAAAGCCAAUAACUUCCUCGUUCUUAACCAAUACAAUUUAUUUUUGAAUGUAAACAAUAAGUCUCACUUAACGAACUAUUGGCGUAUAUAACAAGAAUUAGUAACACAAAAUAACAAACUCUAGACUUAUAUAAUAAAAAUUCUUUGAUAAGAAAAAAGUCUUAUAUAACAAAGAUUACUAACUCAAAAUUACUUUACUUAUAACUAACAUAAGUCAGCGCAUCUAUAUUUUAAAUUUAGAAGUCCCGAAUAUCAAAAUUAUUUUUUAUCCGAGUAAUAAUAUAAAUAGAAAAGAAAAUUUUGGUUUGAAUUGAAGAAGUGUACCUUGAUAAUGAAAAGCAAAGUAGAGACCAUCUUGGACUAUUCAUAUCGAUUUGUUAGUUUGUAAUUAUAUAGAAAUUUGAGGUAAUGUUCUUGUUAUUAAUAUAAUUAUUAGUUUCCGUGGCUCUUCUUUUUUCUUACCACCCUCUUCCUAAUCUGGGGGGGGUGGUGGGGAGUUUUGGGGNNNNNNNNNNNNNNNNNUUUACGUGGCUGUUCUUUCUCCAACUCAUUUCAAGUCGUGUGUGUAAGUAUGAUUUGGAACAUGUGCGUCAUUGAAUCUUCAAAAUCUUCUGGACAAUGAAAGAAAGGAAAUGUAAUGGCAACUCUAAAACAAUUGGCAUCUUCCCCACCAUAUCUAUCUAGUCUACUACUUGUCGUUACUAGAAUCUGAAAUAUACCAUUUUUCUACAUUUUUUGUAUUCUUUUAGAUACUAAGAAUAAAUAAAAAAGGUGAAAAGGCCUAUUUAUUUAUUUCAUUUUAUGAUAAAUCCUAUUUAUAGUAUAUAUGGAUAUCGAAAAACAAAUAACAACGUCGAUAAAAAAGCCUCACUGCCUUGUGCAUCAAGUUGUGUAGAGUAGUAUCACAUGUGGAGACAGAGUAUACAAUAUGAAAGAACCAUAAUAUUGCGAGACCAUGCAUUGAGAACAUUGAAUUGGAAACAACCAUUAUCUUGUUAAUAGAAUAGAUUUAUACAAACUUUAUUUUCUCAUUGUUAUAGAGUAACGGUAGGUAGUUUAUUUUUAAUCUUAUGAAGAAAACAAAAUAAAAUAUUGACUGACUUGCUAACUCGCGCCCUUCUUAUGUUUUUAAUUUUUUUCUUCAUUAGAUUAAUGGCGUUCUUUUUAGGUAAAUUUUGAGAUUGAUUGGAGCACCGAUGAAGGUUUUGUGACGGAUUUUAAUCAGUAUGUUUCCCAGCGCUAGAACUUUACAGGUUUUUCCACUGGUUGAAAACCUCAACUGAACUCUAUGAUAUAGCUCCGGUAGAAACCUCAACUGGUUGAAUUAUGGCGGUGAAGCUCUACUAGUACAACUUUGGUGGCGGAAAUUAAGUUAACUGGUAGAAUUAUUGCUGUAGAACUCUACCGGUAGAAUUUCGGCGACAGAACUUUGUCGAUGAAGCUUAUAUGUCGGAAUAUAAUAUUCAAAAAAAAAAAAGAUUUGUACAUAAUUUCUAGUUUAACCGUUGUAAUAUGAGUCAUUAGAUAGUUGAGCUUGGUGUUUAUUUCAAAUCAACUAAAUUUUAAUGGCGAGGAGUUGAUGGUGUGACAAAUUUUGAUGGCAUGGAGUUGACGGCCUGGCUGAUUCUAAUGGCGGGAACUGGUGAUGCGACAGAUUUUGAAAUGUUUUAUAUGGCAACACUCACUAUAUUAUAAGCUGAUAGUUGGUAACAUUAACCAGAAAUACUCCAAACAGUCAAACAUAUAUAUAUAGCUAGGGUGUGGCAUCUUUGUUGACACCAGACUUUGAACAGGCUAGUCCCUUGCUGAGAACAAUAUCGGAAAUGCGAACUACUUAUCUUCACAACAUGAGAUAUUUUGGGUGAGAAGAAAACUCAAAUGGUACAGAAACAUAUAACAAUGGUGAAUGUACACAGAAGAGAUAGCUUAUAGUUUGCAUUAAAUUGAGUGCUUAUACUUGUAUUUGUAUAGAGCCUACGAUUCUGAAUCCUCUCAACUUUACAAGAAGGUCUGUCUGGAUGUUACCAAAACAAAAUAAAAGGACAAAAAUGACCAAAACGCAGAAAUAGCCAUACAGAGACUGACUAGUUUAGGAACAAAACGACGAACCAAAACAAAAACAAAGAAACAGAGCACCUCUCUUUACUCUGAACUAUCUCUACUUCAAUAUUCCUUUACCAAUUAGUUAUACCAACGCACGCCAGCGGUUUGGUCGGAAGAAUUCAUCAGCAGUUCCUCCAAAUAAUCUGCUCCCAAAUCCUCCAAUACCACUACAUUCAAAUGAUCCCUUUCGCUCUUCUUCCCUCCCCGCCCGUUCAGUUUCCUCCUCAUGGAGUGCUUCCUCUUUAACGCUACCACCGGCGAGCAACCUUCCUUCUCCACAUCUUCUUCGUCCCGCCGUACGUUGCAGCCCAUGUCCUCCAGCGACUCCACCACCCUCUCCACCGGGAAAUUCAUUAUCGCCGCCGGCCCCCUCAUAGAGAACGCCGCCUGGUCAUACGCCAGAGCGGCCGCCUCUGCGCUGUCGAAUGUUCCAAGCCAAACCCGGACCCCGUGCCGAGUCGAAUCCCUUAUCUCCGCCGCGAAUUUCCCCCACGGCCUCCGCCUCACUCCGCGGAAAGACUUGUCCUUCUUAUUAGGUGGCGGCGGCUGCGAUGAUGGUUUGUAGGCGGGGGAGGAGCUGACUUCCUCUUCUUUGAUGAUUGGUUUGGUUUCCCUGUUGUUGGAGGCGAUGAGGCCGAACAAGAGCAUCUCUUCGGAGUCGUUCUCGUUGAAGGGUAGAUGAUGGGUUUGGUUGAGGGAUUGACUGGAGAAUUGCUCCGGGGAUCCGAAGGAAGAGGAUUCCGGCGAUGAGAAGUGGAAAAUUGGGGAUGCCAUUGGAAUAGAGAUGGAUGGAGAAUAAGAAUUGAGAUCAGUGCUUAUUUCUCUGGUUGUAGUUGUGUCUUGGAGGCGUAUGUUAGUUUUGUUGGGUAUGCGGAUUUUUUUGAAGCUUGACGACGCUAUUUAUACCCACCAGGCAGGGGCACAUUAACCGUUGGGUAAGAAAGGUAAAAUAUGGCGGGUAACUCGGGUAUCGACUAGUGUGGUUAAAUUACUGUUUGUGUUUAACCCUGUGUGUGUUAGUGGAACCCUACGUAGUCGAAUGGAUUUGGUGGGAAAAUGGUAGGGAAACCUGGCGGCUCCCCCGGUGCUGCAGCAUGUCAGCCAGAGUUCCAACUUCCAAUCCCCGUUAAGGAAAUAUUCAUGUUCAAUUUCAACCGUUUAUCUCUAACCCUAAAUAUAUAUAAAUAUAAAUAAUUUAAAAUAGAAGAGAUUUGGGUCGAUUUUGCUAUUUUCGAAAUAGAUAAUUUACGGGUGAUUUUGAAUGCAAUUGUUGCAGGGAUUUAAUCUUGUCUACAAAUUUUUUUCCCUUCGAACUCUAUAUCUUCCCUAAGUGAUUUAAAAUCAUCCACACAAUUCUCAUUGAACUCACAAAGUGAUUUCAAAUCUCUCAAAUCUCUACUUUUUUUAAUAUCCAAACAGGUGAUUUAAAAUAAAACCCAUUAAAAUCACUCAUCCAAACGAUGUGCCUACACUUUCAAUUCAUGCAUAACCUCCAGCUAAUUGCAGUGCCUUCCACCACCUCCAUGGCAUCGUGGAUGUCAAGACCAAGCCCGAAGAGGCUUUCUAUGUAAGACUCCAUUGAAGGCACCAUAAGUGGUCAACUUCACUAAGGACGAGGAACAUGCAUUUGAUCGUGACUUCCAUGUCUCGCAUUUGAAGAAGGUUUGAGCCAAGUAUUAAUAAUUCAUUGUCCAACGAAGUCAAAACACAUUCAAUCCAAGUCAACAAAAUUAUUUUCAUCGGAAUACAAAUAACAGACCAGAUGGAGCCACUAAGCUAGCAUGUGAAGUUCACUGCACCAAAGAGGAAGAACGGAAACUGUCGAGAGGCACUACAAGAAAUUGAUGAGCUAACAAUAGAUUUUUGUUUAAUUUAAAAAUGAUCUGGCCACUGUUAAAUUUUUUAAUAGUGGAUACGAAUCCAUAGUUAAAUUAAGCAAUUUAAAAAUCCUUAAAAGGUUAAAACAAGAGAGUAAUUAUACUCCAUGCCGUCUAAGAGGUGUAUAAAGUUUGAGUAUACACAUUAGCACCAUUUUUGCAUCAAUCAAAUAGAUAAUCCAUAAAAUACUUUUUACUUAUAAAUAUCUUAUAAAUAUUUUCUUCAUUUUAUGUAACAAGUACAUAUACAUUCUUAACCAUUACUAAUAUAAUGUCACUCUAUAUUCCAUCUUAUUUUUACAAUUACUAAAAUUUAAAGAUGAAAAUAUCAUUUUUAGGUAGAUUCACUCCGACCUUCUUUAACAAUAAAAAAAAUUAGGAUACAGAUUUGUAAAAGAAAUGGAAUUAAUAAUUGAAAGAACAUUAACCAGAAUGAUUAACUGUUUUAUACGUAAGUUGGAGGAGGAUAUCACUUGUCAAAUACAGAUUUGCAGCUCAAAAUUGUAAAGUCCAAGUUGACGUCAGGAAAUGGUGAAUCUUUUUGGAAGGGAGCGGAGGCGCUCGUUUGUUGGUUUGUUUGUGGGGAAGGGGAAUUAGAGUAGAUUUGGCUUCUUUAAUUACCACUUGUCACUCUCUCGCGUCACGUGGAUGAUUAUUGAUUGCGAUUCUUCUUUCUUUCCCCCGCCCCCCGCAACCCGCCCUUUCCUGGAAAUUCCCCUAAACUAAACUUAUAACUAUUUUCCAAAUUACUUACCUUUGCCGUCAACAUGCUUCCAAACCAACUAACUAUUCCGUUAACUCCUAAUAUUUUAUUAUACUUAUCAAAUGGAAAUGCUCUAAUUACCAAACUUUUGUCGAUAUUUACUGCGCUGCCCUGCGCCAAUUGGGCAACAACGUGGACUUCACAAACAAACGUUUCAACUUCAAACUACAAAUUAUCGGCAACGUACGGUGGCGGAGCUAUUAUUAAAAAAGGAGGUGUUCAGCCAAAAUCCUUUCAAUUACAAACAAAAACAAAAGUUACACACAAUAUUUUUUUAAAAUCUUUAUGGACUAAUUUUAUCAUUAACGACCAAAAAGUUUAAUUAGUAUAAUUAUUAAUAGUUUUUUCUAUAUGGUUAGUAGUUAACAAUUUUAAUCAUAAUUAUUUUAUAAACUUCAUACAUUAUAUAAGACAAUAAGAACAUCUAUAUAUGGGUACUUACAGAUAUUAGUAUCCUCUAUAUUAUAAUUUUAUCAUGUUCUGUGUUUAAAAGGAAGAGUUUGGAGGUUGUGAAUUUGUAUUCGAAAUUUAUGACUUAGUGUUAAAGGUUAAAAGUUUAAUUUUUUAGGUUUAGAAUCUAUUACUUUUAAUUAUGGUCAAAAGUUAGAUAACUUCAUUUGACCAUUAUUUACAGUGAACCUUGAUUUUUUUAGCCAUUUCCAACAUACAUGUCAAAUAUUAGCCAAUUUUAAAAUUUUAAAAUUUUCUUGUGAAAUGGUCAACACACAGAAAUUGACCAAUUUGGACAUGAAAAUUGAAAAUUUUCAAAUUGGCUAAUAUUUGACAUGCAUGUUGGAAAUUAUUUAAAAUUGAGAUUUCACCAUGUUAACCUCUUCAAAUAAUAGUCAAAUGACGUUAAAAAUAUUUUUUAAGGGUCUUGAUUGUUGUUAUUAGUGGAGAUGUAUGUGCUCUCGAAUACAAAAAUUUUAACUUGAAUUUCUAGCUAAUUCCCAUAUGUUGUUAGGUUCGAACUCGAUCCCUGGACCAAUUUCUGGCUUCACCAAUGGCUUCAUUUUGUAACGUAGUAAACUUGGUUUCUAGUUUGUUUGAAAUAAUGAAUUCUCUCCCUAGCUCUCUCUCUUCCUCUGACGCCGGUGUAGCCUGGGGUUCGACCGUCGGAGUCGCCUCUGCUAUGUGAUGUGGUUAUGCCGUACAUGACUGAGUUGCAAUCCUAUCGGCCGCACAAGGGAUGGCUGGUGGCUCGGCGAAAGCCCCCUCUAUACUAGGUGCGACGAAUUCAUUGGUUGUUGGCCCUAAGGUUUCCUAUGUGCUCGCAGUGUUUGGGGCUCCCCAAAUCCAGAGCCUCACUAGUGACAAGACGGUGGUUGUGCAACCUAAUGAUAUCGCAUGACGCACAAAAAAUGGAUUUGGGUAUCUAAAUACCUCUGGUGAGCUACGCGCGAAGAUUUUUGCUCCACUUUGGAAGGCCCUAGUCGUUCAUCUUAUGGGCAUGAGUGUGGAUAUUCAAUACAUAAUAGGCUUAGGGCUAUGUGGCGUUCAGGUGGUAGGAUGACAAUGAUGGAUCUAGACAAUGAGGUGUUUCUAGUCUCAUUUGAAAACCCUCAGGACUAUGAUUUCGCCCUUACCAUAGGCCCUUGGAUGAUUCUCGAACACUAUCUGGUUUGUCAUGCCUGGGAUCCCUCGUUUAGAGUUACUGUCGAUUUACCAACUAAAAUGGUGGUCUAGGUCAGAUUUCCUAAGUUGCCCCUCCAAUACUACCACAAAGAAAUUCUGGUUGGACUAGGGGAUUUGAUUGGACGGACAGUGCAGACUGAUCAUCAGACACUUUAUGCAGCCUGAGGCAAGUUUGCAAGAAUAAUAGUUGAAGUUAAUCUCAAACAAGCAGUAGCUACCGAGGUGUUCCUUGAUAAUGUCUGGCUGGAAAUUAUCUAUGAAAAUUUAUCGUUGUUGUGUUUCACUUGUGGGAAAAUUGGACAUAAGGCCAAAGCUUGUUCCAAAAACUCCAGCCUGAUUGAGCGUUGAGACCAAUUGGAAGGCUUACAAAUGCUGGUGGUGAGUAGAAGUCGGCCAGAGACAAGUACCAACGAGGAAAAACGGUCAAAUUUCGGGUCGUGGCUUACUUUCCACAAAUGAAUCAAUUCAGACACAAUCUCCCCCAACAGGAGUCGGCCUAGGAAACCUUAGCAGUCUCUCCCUUGCUGGAGGUCAGUUGUGUUCGUUCUUCACCAGAUGAUAACAAAGCGAGAAGCCCUGAUGUUCAGGUGGUGUCACUCCCUUUGAUCCAAAAACCUCCACAUAUUGGGGUUUGUAGUUCGGAGAAUAAAAGUGGGCCUUACGAGCCCACAGCUGUUGACCCACCCCCACAGUUAAAGCUUUUGUCGAAUAAUGAUGCAAAGAAGGUUUGCAACAUCUUAACAACUAAAGAUUUGCAUGAUGCUUCAAAGGUUCUGACUCAAAUUCAUUCCUCUUCUCCUCCGCCGGUGUAGCGAGCCCUGGUAAUCUUCGAGGGGUUGAAUCUUCAAGCAAUAAAACAAGUAUUAAGCCAAGGAAGUCGAAGAAAUCUGAGAAGUUGGUGACUGCUUUCCGUUUGGAAGGAAUAUCCUUGUCUGGAAUCCCUUUGCCUAUUCAAAAGAAACUCGUGAAUUCUGAUUGUGGAGGUUCUGAGACGGUAUCGCUUUUGAUGCUAAUUUCAGUGAUUUGAACUAGCCAAACGUCGAAGUUGCGGCUACGGAUGUUUCUUCAUAGACGAGAACAACUGGGGUGAGCAGCACGGUGGAUGAGUCAUCAUAAUCCCCUGGUGCUCUUGUUUCUUUACUCGGUUAUUGUUAUGACUAAUUUCUUUGCUUGAAACUGCCAGGGAGCCGACCAUAAAAACUGCGUUCCUGCUUUGUUGAAUUAUGUUCAGGUCCAUCAACGAACUGUGGUUGCCAUCACCGAGCCACGAAUUAGUGGAGAUAUAGCUGCUAGGGUUAUUCGGAAGCUUAAAUUUGAUAAUUGUUUUUUGGUCGAGGGCAAUGGAUUUUUGGGUGGCAUUUGGCUCCUUUGGAAUGAGAACUUGAUUCUGCUUGAUGUUAUCUGACAUACGACCCAGUCUGUUCAUGUUGUUGCUCAAUGGAAUGACGAAUUCGAAGAUUUCAUUACCUAUGUUUACGGUGCGCCUCGACGGGCAAAGAGACAUGUCUUGUGGACUGAAAUGACUGAUCUUAGCUCUCAAAUCAAUAAGGCAUGGCUAGUCUUGGGGGACUUUGAAACCUCCCUUACAGCAUUGGAUAGACAAGGAGGAGCUAAUUUUGACAUCGGCCAAGUGGAGGAUUUUAUUGAUUUCCUUGAUAAAUGUGCUCUCUUUGCUUUCAGGUUUGUUGGACCUCGAUACACGUGGAGGAGAACUAAUCUUUCUGUCAGACUUGACCGUGCUGUGAUCAAUGAAGAAUAGCUACAUGCCUUUCCAGAAUCAGUCAAUUAAAACCUUCCUAGAAUAAAAUCAUAUCAUCGCCCUAUCAAGGUUAGUAUCUCACCUCUUUAAGCAAAGCUUAUUUCAUGCGUUCUUUUCGAUUUAAUGCGGCAUGACUUGGCCAUGAGGAUUUCCCUCUCCUUGUCAAGGAGGAGUGGCUUCCAGAAAAUGAUAUUGUUUCUUCUUUGCAUGUGUGCCAUGAUAAGCUUAUCGAAUGGAAUAAGUCUACUUUUGGCAAUAUUUUCAUACGGAAACGACGAUUGAUGAAGAACCUUGCACUGCUCGAGGAAAGGAAUGAAUGGAGUAGCUCGCCUAUCUCCCUUCGGCAGGAGCAAGAGACUACGUUGGCCUUGGAAUCUACUCUCUGGCAGGAAGCGGUGCUUUGGUUGCAGAAAUUCAACCUCCAAUGGAAUCGUGAUGGAGAACGAAACACAAGAUAUUUUCACUCUACUACCUUGAGAAGACGAAGACUGGAAAUUGGGUGUACGAUCCAGACGAGCUUGCUAGCAUGGCGCAAGCUUAUUUCAUUACGCUCUUCUUAGCCAAUUCUGGUCAAAAGUUGUUGUCUUUGGGAUCGAGUUGCAUGGCUCUGACGGAAGAUGAAGGGGAGCGUGUGAGUUAGUGGUUCACUCCUACAGAAGUCCAUAGGGCGGUUGAGAAUAUGGGACCACUCAAAUCACCAAAGAAGGAUGGCUUCUCUCCUAUUUUCUUUCAAAAAUGUUAGAAUAUUAUUGGUCCUGAUUUUGUGAAGUUUGUGAUGGCUUGUUUCAGGAAUCCAUCCCUUAUUCCAUAUAUCAAUGACAUGAUGAUUGUGCUUAUCCCCAAAGUUAGUCAACCGGAGAACAUGGGGCAGUUUCGACCAAUCAGCCUGUGUAGCAUUUUCUAUAAGAGUUUCACCAAAUGUUUGGCGAACAAAAUUAAGGGGUCCAUGGAUCGGUUUAUCGGCCCCAACUAGACUUGCUUCGUUUCGGGAUGACAAAUUACAGAGAAUAACAUUAUUCUACAGGAGUUGGUUCAUUCUAUGAGACUUAAGACAGGACGUUGGGGUAUGCUAACCAUCAAGCUAGAUUUGGCUAAGGCGUACGACAGGAUUGAGUGGGAUUUUGUUAAAGAUACUCUGAGUCAAGCGCACUUCCCAACAAAUUUUAUUGACGCUACUAUGGCCUGCAUCACCACGGCAACGACUCAAGUACAAUGGAAUGGGAACCUUACAUAAUUAAGGGGUCUAUGGAUCGGUUUAUCGGCCCCAACCAGACUUGCUUCGUUCUGGGACGAAAAAUUACAGAGAAUAACAUUAUUCUACAGGAGUUGGAUCAUUCGAUGAGACUUAAGACAGGACGUUAGGGUAUGCUAACCAUCAAGCUGGAUUUGGCUAAGGCGUACGACAGGAUUGAGUGGGAUUUUGUGAAAGAUACUCUUAUCCAAGCGCAUUUCCCAACAAGUACAGUGGAAUGGGAACCUUACAGAACCCUUCAAACUAGGGUGUGGGCUGCGGCAAGGAUGUGCUCUUUCUCCUUAUCUCUUUACUCUUUCCAUUGAGCGUCUUUGUCAUAUUAUUAUGAAGUGUCUUGAAGAGGGGAGUUGGCAUCCUAUUUCUUUGGGUCCUUUGUCGCACUUAUAUUUUGUGGAUGACUUGGUUCUGUUUGGUAGUGAUGCUAUUGAGUAGUGUAGAACUAUUAAGGAUUGUGUUAAUAAGUUUCGUGCUACUUAUGGGCAAGUCGUUAGUGAGUAAAAGUCUAGAAUCUUUUUCUCUCGUAUUGUGUUGUCUCGGCUUCGUUCCGCUAUCUGUUCUAGUCUUGGCUUCCGUGAAACUAAGGAUCUUGGUCGAUAUCUCAGAGUACCUAUCCUUCAUGGACAGGUUAUAACAGAUACAUACCAAUUUGUGUUAGAUAGAAUGUAUGCCAAGUUAGCUGGUUGGAAGUGUAAAAUGAUGUCUUUAGCUGGUAGAGUCAAGCUGGCUACUUUUGUUUUGAAUGCUAUCCCUUCUUAUGUUAUGCAAACGACCGUCAUUCCUGCUGCUACCUGUAAGAAAAUUGAUCAAUGUAUUCAUAACUUUGUGUGAGGUAUCCUUCCUUAUGAAAGGAACCCACAUCUUGUGUCAUGGGAUGAUGGCCUCAAGAUCAAGGAGGACUUGGGCUGCGAAAAGCAAAGGCAUUUAAUGAUGCUUACCUAAUGAAGCUUGCUUAGAAAUGGUUGGAACAACACGAUGCCAUAUGGGUUCAAGCCUUUCUUGGAAAAUACACUAAGCACAACAUAGAUGGGUUUAUAGUGAUUUAAAAGAAAACUUCGUCUCCUCUUUGGCGAGGUAUUAGGCGUGUCUCGGGACUCGUUCUGAAAGGGGUUAAGAAUUGUGUUCGAGGGGGUCAUGACACAAGUAUUGGUUUGAUAAUUGGAUUGAUGGGGGUAUUGUGUUAGAUGAUUUUAUUGAAAAUGAUGAGUUGGGAGAAAGGGUGGCUUCGAAAGUGCGUGAUCGUGUGGAUGCGACGGGCUAAUGGAAGUGGGAGCUUCUUCAGAAUGUUCUUCCUAGGGAAACAGUCGAAAAUGGUGGGAGGAAUGAUGCCUCUGGAAGGAGAUAAGGAGGUUAGCGUGUUGUGGGGGUUGGAUCCUAAAGGAAAAUUCUCUGUCAAAAGCGCUUAUAACUUGAUGGCUAGCUUCCGGUGUGAUAACGGACAACCUGCUUGGAGAAUGAUUUUGCGCUGGAGAGGACCUAACCGAGUUUUUCACUUUCUUUGGCUUGUUUAUCAAUGCAGGUUGCUUACCAAUUUAGAGAGGUGUAGGAGACAUAUGUUGGAGCGGAAUGAGUGUAGUGUGUGCAAACAGGGGCCAUAGACAAUUUUACAUUUGAUGCGGGAUUGUCACAUACCCAAGACAACUUGGCAGACGGUGUUUGGUACUGACAUUUGGUCCAAAUUUUAUGAACAGGAUGUUGAAACGUGGCUUUUGAGAGGCAUUUCCCAUCCUCUUCGGUCUUUGGAGUUUGGGCUUAUUUGUUGGUUGCUUUGGGAAAAUCGUAAGGAAGUAGUUUUCAAUAAUGCUUCUGUCUCCUGCGAUCAGCUCCGCGAAGCAAGCCUAAACUUUGUCCAGUAGUUUUCUGUAAAGUUAAUUUGCUUGGAGAAAGUUUGGAAUGAUUUCUGACACCUUGCAUGCUUUCUUGAAGCACGACAGCUUCUUGACAGAGACUGGGAUAUGUGUAUUACGCAUACCUAUCGCGAAAUGAACCUUGUUGCGGACGCCCUCGCCCACCAUGGGCAUUCUUUACCUCUUGGUAUAUAUAUAUUUAAGAUAAAAGAGAAGAAAUAAAUAGGUAUUCAUUUUGGAGUAUAUUAAAUUGAAACCCAGAAUAAAUAGAAAAAUAUCAGGAAUGCACUUGUGAGAUUAUUAAGUAUCUAGUUCCACUAAUCCGGAUCUGCCACCUGGAGUGAAUUCUACUAAUAUAGUUCUCAACCUUACAGUUCUAUUCAAACCAUGAUUCCUGAUGAUGAUUCACAUUGGCAAGCCGCCAAUAACGUCCAAAUUUUCUCUCAAAGACAUUGUUUAUGAGUGAGUAUAAAACUGUGUACAAUAUAAUAAAACGUAUAAACAACUGAGUUCAAAGACAAAUAUAUACAAAAACACACAAGAAUGAGUACACGAAAAUGUACAAAAUGUAAGAAACAAGUACGUGUAGAAAAUGAAAACAAAGUCAUACACAUGUACUAAACACAGAGUACAACACCUGUACACAAAAAGUACAAUUGGUGAUCCGAACCUCAUAUAUUGUAACCAUUUGCAAAACAUGUACAAUUUUUGCUUAAAAAGUUAUUACAUUUCGAAAGAUUGAGUAGAAAAAAAAGUACAACAGGAAAUAAUUUUCAGAAAAAUAAAUAAAUAAAUUUAUGAAACUACUUAUUUACCCUUUUUAAUUUAACUUCUUGGAUCUUAGACGUUAAUUAAUGAUAUGGACUUUAAUGUAUUGUUUAAUAUNNNNNNNNNNNNNNNNNNNNNNNNNNNNNNNNNNNNNNNNNNNNNNNNNNNNNNNNNNNNNNNNNNNNNNNNNNNNNNNNNNNNNNAAUGUGAUGGGUAUUGAAUGAAGAAGAAGAAAGGAGGUAUCUAAACUCUUUAAAAUUGGUGCUUUGUUUUUUACAACAAGAAUGAGAAGGUUUGAGCAAACAGAGAGUCGGCCGACUCUAAAUAUACAUAUUAGGUUUGAUGGAUAUGGUGUUAAUUUAAUUAUUAGUUGAUGGUAAAUAAGUCAUUUAAUAUAAUUAGUAAAUUUAUGUGUAAUUCAUUUUGAAAUACCUAUUCAAUUCUACGGAAUUGUUAACACUAACCUCAAUUUGACCGAAUUGAAAACUUAGAAUUGAAAAUAAAUUUUUUACCUACCAAACACAAAAAUAUUUAUUUUAAAAUAAAUUCCAUAAAAUUUUAAAAAUUCAUUUAUACCGAUUAGAUAAUAAAUAAUCCAAAAUCUAAAAUGUCCCUUAAUCCCAUAAAAAAAACUCUUUUCUCCAUACUUUUAACCCAUUCUCGGAUUGCCUCAGUUGGUUAUAAAAUAAAGAAACUUGCUAAUAUUUCCUUGAUGAGUUGACUGUGAGGUCAAGACUGCUCAUUAAGCCCUUGAAAAGUCACGAGAACCCUCAAACCUAAUAUACAUAUAUUAUCUUGACUCCAGAUCAAAUCAAAUUAAGGGUAAGCCACGCUUAGUUUCCCCACUGUAGUUCAUCAUUGAGCUACGAAAUGGCAAACAGAUUCAAUUCACCAUAUCCUCAUAAGAACUCCCUUUCUCGCUGCACAGUCUUAACAACAAGUAACCGGUUUCAUGUGAAUUCAGUUGGUGAAAGAAUCAUAAAUCACUGCCCAAUGGAAAGAAUUAAAGAAAGAAAGGAAUUAAACCUGGUCAGUUUUCUUUUUGUUUCCACUCGUGAUCAACAGUCAAAUAAAAUUAACGAAAACGACUUGUUCCUGCUAUGAAACGUAACUCUGGCUACUUAAUUAGGCCAAGAGCAGAGCAUCUGAAGUAGUAUCAGAUUUAGGACAGCCACAAAUAUGCAUAAAAAAUUUAGAUUAGGCAUCAUUAUCGUCGUACGUAGAGGCUAUCUGUCCACAAAAAAUAAAAUUUCUGGGUUUUCCAAAACAUGGUCUACAUUCAGGGCCUCUUGCUUCAUCGUCAAUGUAGUUCCAAUAUUCCAUUUUCGAGUUUUCAUAUCCGUCUUUCUAACUCACUCGAACUUAUAGAUGAAUGGAAAACCGUUGAAGGUCCUCCGAAAAAGGAAUGGACACCCUCGGAGAGUCGCUAUUUCUUUCUGUUGAAGAAUGAAAAUAUAUAAAUUGGUAUUUGUAGUUAGGUGUACAUACGUUUAAUUAUUUUUUUUUAUCAAUCAAUUAAGAUUUAUAAAUUUAUGCUUAAUCGAGCGGUAAUUGCCAAGUAAAUCGGUGAUUUAGUGAUAACAACAGUUUAUGUACAACGCAUGAGCUGGUAAUCUGGGAGGUGCUACCCACACACGGGUAACAAGGGAGUAGCAGUUAACCUUAUUAGUUACCGUACUUUGCAUCCUUAAUCUCCUAACAACCCUUUCAAAGCGAUAGACAUGAAACUAACAACUAGAACGAAAAAUGAGAGAAUAGAAUAAGUUUGGAAUGAAUGGAUAGAUUCCCCUAUGGGAUCUUAUUGUACAUAUAGGAUAAGUACAUAUAUAAAACUACUAAACUACCUUUACUUUCACAAACCCCCUCAAGCUGGACUUGAAGAUCAGUCAAGAGAUAUUGUACCACCGGAGUUCACAAGCAGUAGCGGCAAGAGCCCUAUACUCAGCUUCUGCCGAUGAUCGAGAGAUGGUGGCCUGCUUCUUCGAUUUCUACGAAAUCAGAGAUUCUCCAAGAAAAGUAUAGAAACCUGUUGUUGACCGCUGGGAACUAGGACAACCUGCCCAGUCACUGUCACUAAAAGCAUGAAGUUUAAUAUAUGAACUUGCAGGAAAGAAUAAACCUUUUACAGGGUUCGUUCUUGAGAAAUCGAACAACUCUGAGUGCAGCCUUCAUGUGGAGAUUAGUAGGGCGACUCACGAAUUGACUAAGAUAAUUGACUGUAAAAGCAAUGCAUGGUCUUGUACCGCAUAGAUAAACAAGACGUCCCACGAGCCGUCGAUAAGAAGUGGGAUCUUCCAAAGGUUCACUAGAUGAAAUUAAGAGACGAUCACAGGCAUCUGUUGGACAAUCACCAGGUUUGCAAGCAAGAAGUCCUAAGUCUUCUAUGAUACUAAGAGUAUACUUCCAUUGGCAGACAGAAAUUCCUUGAGUGGUGCAAGUACUUCGAGACCAAGGAAGUAUUUGAGGAGACCUAGGUCUUUGAUUGUGAAAGUCUUAUCCAACUGAGCUUUGAAAAGAGAAAUUCCAGGAGCAUCAUUCCCCAUGAUAACAAUAUCGUCAACAUACACAAGAACAGCUGUGAAUAAACCAGCAGAAGUCUUGGUGAAGAGACUAUAAUCAGCUUUGGAUUGAACAUACCCUGAGUUACAGAGAAAAUCAGUGAGCUUAGAGUUCCACUGUCGACUAGCCUGCUUUAGACCAUAUAGUGACUUGUUGAGCUUACAAACAUGAUUAGGAGGAACAACCAAUCCAGGAGGUGGAACCAUGUAGACAUCUUCCAAUAAAUCACCAUGUAAAAACGCCGUAUUAACAUCAAGUUGAUGAAUCAGCCAACCUCGAACAACAGCUAUGGCAAGAAAUAAACGAACUGUAGUCAUCUUGGUGAUAGGGACGAAACUAUCGACAUAAUUGAUCCAAGUUGUUUGAGUAUAACCUUUUGCGACGAGUCUUUCCUUGUACCGCUCUAUUUCUCCAUCGGCUCUAUACUUGAUUUUGAAUACACAUUUAUUUCCGACGAUAGUGAUAUUGGGCGGCUUGGGAACAAUUGACCAUGUGUUUGUCCUUUUGAGAGAAUCAGAUUCAGAAUCCAUAGCUUGGACCCAAUUGGGAUCUUUGACAGCCUCCUUAUACGUAGUAGGCUCCUCAGUGCUUGAGAUGGCAUUGAUGAAUCGAGCAUAACCAGAAGACAAUUAGUUAGAGGAGAUGCAAUGAUGGAUCGGGUAUCGAACAUUGUUGUAGUGAUAGUCGAGAAGAUAUGUUGGGAGCCGAGGACGCCGAGUAGGAUGCUGAGAAGAAGCCGGAGGAUCUGAUUCAUUCGAGGAAAUAGAAGGAGGCACCCGAAGAUCUGAUUCAUUAGAAGAACCAGAAGGAAGCACCGGAGGAUCUGAUUCAUCGGAGGAAGUAACAGGAGGCUCAAAUGAUGGAGCAAGUGAGGAAGGCAACGGCUGUCCAACAUUGGAAGGAAUUGGAUUCAUAAUGGAAAAAUGAUCCAUCGGAAGUUCGGGUUUAAGCCCAGAAGACUGAGGUUGAGAGAAAGGAAAAAACAUUUCGUGGUAAGCAACAUCACGAGAAACAAUUAUAUAAUUGUUGUUGAGAUUAUAUAAACGGGCUCCUUUUAUGGAAGGAGGAAAGCCUAGAAAAACACAAGGCAAAGCCAUGGCUGAAAGUUUAUUGUGAUGAGCAGCAGGAGUGGUAGCAUAUGCCAAACACCCAAACACCCGAGGGUGAUUAUAACUCACAAGAGUGUUAGUGAGUACCUCGAAAGGAGUUUUAUGAGCCACAACUGGAGUAGGUUUGAUUAAGUGUACGACAUGUUGAGCCACAUAUCCCAAAAAACAUGGAGGAAGAGAGGAUUGAAAAAAGAGAGAACGAGACACAUUGAGUAUAUAUUGGUGUUUACGUUCUAUGACCAUUUUGUUGGGAAGUAUAAACACACGAUGUUUGAUGAAUGAUACAUUGAGAAGAAUAGAAAGCAGGAUCACUAAACACUAAACUUUUAUCAGUACGAAUAACUUUGACUACCUUAUUAUAUUGAGUGCGAGCCAAGACACAAAAAUCAACAGGAAGUGGACGAACAUCCAAUUUAGAAACCAAAAGGUGAAUCAAAGUAUAUCGAGUACAAUCAUCAAUAAUUGUUAGAAUAUACUUGUGCCCUUGCAAGGUGGGAAUUGAAUAUGCCCCCCGGAUAUCAAUGUGCAACAAUGCAAAACGAGUUGUAGCUCGAUUAAUACUAAGAGGAAAACUCAAAACGAUGUUGUUGGCUAAUGGACAAAUCUUGCAAUGAAAAUCUGGAUUGUGCUGAUCAUUAGACACCAUCUAAGAGCUUGGUAAGGAUGAAUGACCCAAUUUGUAGUGCCACAAGUCAAAGAAAACAGCUGACCAGACUAGACGAGAAACAUGAGUUGGUAGAUUCUGAUGAAGGCAGUAGAGAUUUGCCACACCAUUUAGCUAUACCAGUCGUCAUUGAUUUGAUAGGAUCCUAAAAGAAACAAGAAUCACCAAAAAAGGACACACUACAUGAAUGUUCAUGAAUCAAUUUGCUAAUAGAGAGCAAGUUGAAUGAAAAUGAGAGAAUGACUAUAACCACUGAAACAACCAAGGAAUCUGUUAAUUGAACAGAGCCAAUAUGACUAACAAUAACUUUGGAGCCAUUAUGCAAAGAAACACUCAUGUUAAUAACUUGUCGAGAAGUCAUAAGAAGAUCAACUGAGCAAGCAACAUGAUCAUUUGCUCCAUAAUCGAUUACCCAAACAUGAGAUGAACUCGGAGAAGUAGAAGAAAGAAAAAAUUUACCUGGAGUAUGACUGGUAGAUGGACCAGCAUUAGUCUGAGUAGAUUGGUGAGCACCUUGAUCGGUAUUGAGCUUAGUCUCAAGAACAUUAAUGUGUGCUUGAGGAACCGAUUGACCAGUGGUCAACCCAGAAACUGGAGAUGGAAUUCUCAUGGUGAGGCAGUGAACAGAUGGUCCUGGAGGAACAACAUUGAUGCUAAGAGAAGCACUAGAACUUGGUAUAUUGAAUAGGCUGUGAAGAGCUUGAUAUUGAGCCUGGGAGAUCAAUAACCCAUCAGGUAAGAGAAACAGCCUUUCACUUCGGACGAUAACCGAAGGAUAGCCAAUCCUUCGAUAGCAUUUAUCAAUAGUAUGCCCGAUCAAACAAUAAUGAGUGCAAACCGGGUGUUUACCCAAUUUCUUGUAUGAUGGCUGACAAGUAGCCAGGAUAUGAGGAGACGGAUCUUCUAUUUACGGAAUUGGAGCAACAUGAACUAGAUUAGAGGCAGGGAUCCCCAGUUCUUAUUCUUCAUGAUUUAUUAUUGAGAUAACUUGAUUAAUCAUUGGCAAAGUCUCUGUACGAAGGAUGUGAGAUCGAACAGAAGCAUAACAUGGAUUCAAGCCUCACAAGAAUCGAAUUAUCUGGUUCGACUAAAAAUAUCCAUGAACACGAGAAAGGGCGUCACAAGAACAUCGAGGAUCGCAAGAACAUGCAGAGAUCGGCCGGAACAUUAUAUACUCAUCCCAAAUAAGCUUGAAUCAAGUAUAAUAAGAGGAAACAGACAAGAUGCCUUGACGGAAUUCGGAGAUCUGAUCGUAUAACUCAUUGGUGGGAACUACGUUUGGCGGCAGAAUAGAACCAUCAACCAGACCACAUUUGUUCUUGGUCAUCAGCGCGGAGAGAGAAUGGGAGCCGAAAUGUUUUGCUCUGAUACCAUGGUAGAAUAGAGUAAGUUUGGAAUGAAUGGAUAUAUUUUACUAUGGGAUCGAAUUGUAUAUAUAGGAUAGGUUUAUAUAUAAAAAUACUAAACUACCCUUACUUUCACAAAAAAGACAAACAAAAGCGAAAGAAGACACUAACAAAUAGAAUUGAGAACGACUCGAAAAAAUUAAGAAUUGAGAAAACAUAAGAUACAUGAAAGGAGUCUGGCCGGAGGGGGGAACGUUGCUGAAGCCAAUGCAGAGAUCCACAGCCCCCUAGAGACGAUUAUGCUGCUGGACAGGUCGCCCCUAGCUGACCCACAUGUACCAUGUUUGUUGGAGCAUGACCACCCUUCUUCGGUGAUUUCAACUACUUCUAAUCAUAGACUUUCUUUCGUUCCAUAGGAUGAGUUGUGGGAGGUUGUAUAGGAAGCAGAUUUUCCAUUGUGGAAGAAGUAAUCGAAAACCCUACUCAAGUGGAGAAAAAACCUUACUCGAACGGUGAAUUAAACCUUACUCAAGAGGAGAACUAAACCCUAACAGCGGGUAAAAGUUAUCAAAAUCAAGGAGAUACAGAGGGAAAGAAAUAGGUGACAAUGACUGAAGGUACGGUGCCUAGAGUUUUCCGACUCUCAUUAAUGCAAACUAGGGUUCACUGUCCAUAUUUUUCUUUCCUCCUCCAGUUGUAUGUACAUUUAUUUAUUAAAUACAAGAUUAAUACAUCAAAAUUUAUUUCUUAUGCUUUCUUGUCAUUAAUAUUUUUAUUUGAGUAACACAUACUAGCAUUGGAGAUCUUCAGAUCACCUUGAACGCUUUAUCUUCGUCUUCUGAAGUUGAGAGGAUGAGAGACAGAGCCUAGGGUUUAGAGGAAAGGAAUCAAUGAAUUAAACUACGUUAAAGAGCACCUUCGUCAUUUUAUAUAUCAAGUGACUGUGCACGAAACACAUCGGUUCAUUAUCCUGCAUACAAACUCGAAACACAACAAAACCGGGCGGAGAAGGUAAUUGACCAAUCCAGUAAUCAACUCGGUUUGACUGAUUGCUAAUAGGAUUAUAUAAAUGUCCAUUUCUAUUUUGAUAGAUGAGAAAUAAACAUAUCCUUGAAAAGGCUUAUAUUGGUCAGCUUGAAUUGUUAUUGCAUAUUUUUUUUCCUUUCACGUCUACUUAUUUUUACAAAUGAUAUCAAUGUCAAACCUAUAAGACUAUCUCCCAUGUUUGAGUUCAAGUGUCAAAGUGCUAUAAAAUUCAAAAUUGAGUUUCAAGUGUCAAAGUGCCAAAUUUAGUUCACUAAUUUAAUGGUUGGUAUUCACAUAAAGGGUUUCUAGGAAUUUGUGAUUCUUUAUCGAUUCUCCUAUCAAUUUUAUUUGGAUAGUUUUUAUAUUAAAAUUUCUGUCUUUCAAAGACGAAUAUAACUAAAUCAAUUUUGAUAAUAUUUCAAACCUUCAAAAAACUACCUAAAAGCUAAAUUUAGCACUUUAAUUUGGCACUUUAGCGCUCACCAUCGGAAUAAAAACACUUUUUGAAGUCUUAAAUUGCUAAAUUUAAGACCUUCAUUUGACACUUUAGCACUUACCAUCAGGGGUAGUCUAACUACCAAGGAAUCCAACUAUUAGUAGUUUUAUCAUAUAUUGAAUUGGGAAGCCAACUUGGUUCAAGAAUGUAUAGGCUCAAAGAUAAAAAGCUUAACAAAACUAGUUAUAAUUAAGGAUUUGAUCUUUUCACUUAUAUUUUUCUUUACAAUCAAUUAAGAUUUAUAAAUUAAUGCGUAAUCGAGCAGCAACUACCAAGUACAUCGGUAAUCUAGUGAUAGCAACGGUUUCCGAACAACACAUGAGCUGGUAAUCUAGGAGGUGUUACCCACACACGGAUAACAAGGGUGAAGCAGUUAACCUUAUCAGUUAUCGUACAUCGUAUCCUUAAUCUCCUAACACCGUUUCAAAGUCAUAGACGCCAAACUAACAACUAGAAUGAGAAAGGAAAACAAAAGCGAAAGAAAACACUAACAAACAGAACUUAGAAUAACUCGAAAAUAUUAGGAAUUGAGAAAAUAUAAAAUACUGGAAAGAAGUCCGGCUGGAGGAGGCGAACAUUGCUGAAGCCGAUCCGGAGCUCCACAACCCCCUACAGACAAUUAUGCAGCUAGACGGAUUGCCGUUGGCUAACCCGCCCGUACCAUGCUGGUUGCUGGAGCAUGGUCUCCCGUUUUGGUGGUUUUAAUGACUUCUGACCGUAGACUUUUUUUCGAUCCAUUGGAUGAAUCGUAGGAGGUCGUUAGGGAAGCAGAGCCGCCAUGUGAAAAAAGAAAUUGAAAAACCCUACUCAAGGGGAGAACAAACCUUACUCUAAGGGAGAAUAAAAGCUCACUCAAAGGGAGAACAAAACCCUAAUAGCGGGUAGAAACUAUCGAAAUGAAGGAGAGAUGGAGGGAAAGAGAUAGGCGUUGGCGGCAGGAGGUGUGGUGGCUAAAAUUUUCAGUGGCCAACCUUUGCAAUUAUAUUUAAAACGUAUUUAUUAUUUUUAUUUAUUUAUUUAAAUCUCCGACAUCCCCACAGCUAUUAAUUUUUCGACAACUGAUUGAUGAGUCUCCAAUAAAUGGUUGGUAAUUUUUUGACAAAUUAUUCGUUGAGUCUUCAAUGACUUUCUUUGCGAGAAUUUAUGACUAGUUAUAAAUUUAAAUAAUUAGUUAUACCAACUAGUGCUAUGAUCAAAUAAUGAUAUAUUUAAUUAUUAAUUAUUAAUUACACGAUUGAUAAUAUAAUUAAUUAUAUGUAAAAGUAAUUAAAUAUAUUAUAGUUGAAUAAUCAAAUGACUAGUUAUACAAUGGAUAUUCAAAAAAUAAAAUUAUACUAACUAUUUGUUUUUAUAAAGCACUAGCAAUUGAUUAUUUUGUUUUAUAAAGCACUAACAAUUGAGUCAUGCUCCUUGAGCACUGGAAUCUUCAAGAAAUAGUUUUAUAAUGUUGGUCCUUUAAUGUAACUUAUUUAAAUUUUCAAAGUAAUCAUUUCCACAAUAUUAGUUUCUCAUUCCAUUCAGUUUGCUAAUCAAAUACGUUUGUUGGUGUGGUCUAAUCAAAUACGAAUAUGAACUUCUGUGCCGGGAAUGAGCAAGAACCAACAAGUUAGUCCCGCAAAAACCCAAUUCUUAUCAUCCUCUCAAAAAUAUACACAACCUGAUUUUCCUAUACCAAACGAAGAGUAUGAUAUUCUUUUAUCCUUUUCAUCUGUAUACUCGCCAUGUAGAUCCCUUCACCACAGUUUCACUACUUUUAUUUUACGGCACUCUGACUUCUAGCCUGGUGAUCCUCGCUAUUAUGAGUCUUCUCCUUUUCUUCGGUGCUGAUACACUCGACGGUUUCCACGCCGACUGAGUCUUUUGCCUAGAGCAAUUGCGGUUUAUCCGCCUUGCUCUCCCAUUUCUAUGGGAUGAGGCUGUGGGGCAUCUCUACCCCAUAUCCUAGAUCUGGUCGCGAUUUGACCCUACACACUAUGCUAAUACCCUUCUAUUCCUCGAUCAUUUACUUUGAACUGGCAAGCAUCAUACUCAUCCUGGAAUCUUCCCCUUUGGCACGUACAUAGAAAGCGUGGGCGUCAAUUGAUUUUGGGUACAACUAUACCACCUUACAGGCUCACGUUUGAUUCGACCGAUCCAUCGGGUACUGUCUGAAUCGACUUCUCAGGUAGACUAACGUCGGGUCGGCGCCGGAUCCCCGUCCUAGACCCCCUUCUGACUACCGGAUCACUCGGCUCGCAGGCAGUUUGCCACCGCCUCCGUCAGAUCCUCCUCAUCGGUGCCGCCUCUGUCGACCACGGUCACCCUACCAAACAGGUCGUCGUUACAUCCUUUGGGCUAGAAAGCCUUAUUUGAUUUGACCUAAUUUCAUUAGCCCUGAACCAAUUCAAUUAUCUUUUAAUUUCUCAGAGUUAAGUACUUGGGCCAGCGGGUCUUUCUUGGGUUUAUGUAAUUUCUUGGUCUUGAUAUAUGAUAUCAAUACUCAUUCAUAGUAAAAAAAACUCAUAAACCAGGAUAUGAUAUAUGAUUGAUAGUACAAAAUUUAUAUAUUUGGCGAGAGCCGAUAUAUAUGAUUAAUAAUUUAUAUCCAUUAAUAAAAAAUUAUAUAUAUAGUGAUAGAGAUAUAUAUGAUUUCGAAUAAUUGUAAUUCCCUUAUAAUCUUUUUAGAUUACACCUUUCAGUUUACCGUCAAUACGUUAUAUAUGUGUUUUGUUUUGAAUUUUUAAUGAAAAUACGUGUAUGUCACUUCAUAAAAAAAUUUAUCCAUUAAUGGUUCAAGGAAUCAAGUUUUGAAUUCAUAGAUGAUAAGAGUUUUUUUAACUCUUUAAUGUUGGAAGGAGUCCUUUUUAGUGUGAACGUCGUUAUUAUACCUAUAUUUAAAAUUAUUUUUUAAAAAAAUUAAAAUAAUAUGUUUGCAUAUUAAAUUAUUUUAUGUGUAUUUAAUACAAUACACAUAUUUUAUUAUCAAACAAUAUACAAUUAUAUAAAAUAAAAAAACCGAAAGCUCUCAUAAUAAGUCGGCGAUUAAGGUGGGCGACGCCUAUUGGCAAAGAUGGCAACGAAAGUGUCCGUGGAUGGCGGCAAACAUGGCUGACAAAUGAAGGUGACUCUAGCUAGCAAAUGGAGGUGACUUUAGAUGGCGGUGUUGCCGCCAGAUAGCGGUGGAAGUGGAUGGUGACUGUGGCUGAUGGUCGAUGGCAGACGUGACUGCAUGCCUUAGAGGUUGACGCGGAUGGCGCCUGACGAUAGUGGUCGGCAAUAGGCGACGGAGGUUGUCGGCAGAUGAGGAGGCUGACAAUCGUUGUUAAAGAUCGGCGAUUGAGGUUGCCGGUGGAUGACGGCUGGCGAUGGUGAUAUGCAACCAACGAUUGAUGUUGUCGGCGGAUGAUGGCUAAUGAUGAUUGUCGGAGACCGGUGACGGAUGGCGACUGACGAUAGUGGUCGGAAACCGACAGGGGAGCUUACCAGUGGAUUUCGGCUGAAAGAGGUGGCUGGGAUGGCCGCCGACUACUGGCGGAGGUUGCCGGCAGUUGGAGAAAAUCGUCAUCAAUUUUUUCGAUGACCAGGAAAAGCGCCGGAAAAGUUAUAUUGAAGUCAUCGGUAAAUCUUAUAUUCAAGUUUUCACCCGUUAGAAGGUCCUCAUUCAUGUAACGGCCAAGAUAAGGUUGCCGUUCAAAUGAAUACGAAUAUUAUUCAUCUGGAGUUUGGGACAUUUUGGAAAGAACGAAAGAACGAAAAGAAAUGAAAAUAAUAAACAAAAAUUGGAGGAGGAUUUGUGACGACGUUGAUCGCUAAACUUCUGUGAACCGCAUAAUAUAAUAUAUCCAUGCAUGCUGAGAAAUUAAAUGGUACAUAGAACCUUCGGAGGAAGCUAGCUAGGAAUUAAUUAUUAUAAGUAGCUAGCAAAUUAUGACAGCUCCAGCGACCAGACUUGUAAUUCGUUCAAACAUUGAUUCAACGGAAGGUCAAUGAAGCUGUAGGAUUUCGUCACCUCCACCAUACGUCAUACCUGACCACAUUUAAAUAUACUUAUUUUUAUAUAUAUAUAUUGGCGCCAACUCUGAAGGAAAUAAUUAACAACUAACGAUUAUAUAACAGCAGAGCGUGGAGGAUAGAGUUUCAGGCAGGAAUAAUAGGAAGGAAGCCAGGAAAGGCAUUAUUAGUGGCGAAGAUGAGCAUCAUUAGCAGGAUGUGAAGUAUGGUGGUGUCCGGCGGAGACCGUGGGGGAAGUACGCCGUGGAGAUACGUGACCCGGCCAGGCGAGGCUGCUGGAAUAAUGUGAUUUUUGAAAUGUAAAGAAUGGAAGUUUGAUGAUUGAUAUGUGAAAAGAUGAAAUUGAGUGAUUGUUUUGUAAAGUAAAAAAAAGUUGUUGAGAGAAGUAGAGGAAGCGAGCUGCUUCUUGUCUUUGUUUUUGGAAUGAAGUUGCUUGAAUUGAUACACAAUAGAUGUAAGGCUUUAUAUAGCCUUUACAAACUUAACAAGACAAAGUACAUUUAUUUUAUCAUCUUAUCACAACUAACUUUAUUUAAUUUUGGUGGCUUGAUGAUGGAGAUUUGUUGGUGGCUUGUUGGUGGAUUAUGUUGGUGGCUUGUUGUUUAUGAAGUGAGUGAAAGAUCCAUAUUUUAACAGAGGCUCUAGGCUGUGGCUGGGUACUUAUGACACUGGGGAGGAGGCAGCUCGUGCUUACCACAAAGCACCCUUCAACAUCAGAGGAAACCUCGCCAUCCUCAACUUUCCGAACGAGUAUUACUUGCGGCCGAGUCCUAAUAAUGUCGCCGGUGGCCGGGGCGGGCGAGAUUUGGAGGACGAGGGAGGGAGAAAGGAAGAGAAGCAGGUAUUGGAGUUGGAGUACUUGGAUGACAGCUAGCUCUGCUGGUUCGCUCGGUUCCUUCUUCAUCUGGCGAGAAGGAAGAGCUAUCUGAUCAGUUGCAGUGAUCAUGGAUUGCAAAAAGGAGAAUUACUCCAUAGGAUCAUUAAUGGAAGCUAAAGCACAAGAGAAAAUAACAUAGGGAGGAAGAUGGGGUUGGGGCGAUUGGGCUUCUUAGACGGUGGUCAAAGGAGGAAGUAGGGUCGACGGGGAAGAAUCGACGUUGGUGAAAGGAAAUUGUUAUAAUUAGUUAUGUAAAAGAGAGUUGAUUCAACAACACUAUUCCUAUAAAAUGAAUUUUCAAAAUUGUAAUGGGAGAGCUGUAUUUUAACAAAAUUUGAAAUUUUUUGUGAUUUUAGUAAUGGAAUGACUUAUGCGAUUUUUGAAGAAAAUAAACAAAAAAAUAUUAAAAUAAAAAAAAGAUGAAGAGGUUAACUAUUGACAGAUUUUAAUUAAAUAUAAAAUAUUAAUGAUUAAUUUGAAGGUUAUUUUAUUUUCAAGAGCUAAAUUAACAUCUUUUAAUAAAAAAAUAAAAUUAAUUAAUAAUAUACUAUCACAUAGUGUUUACAUUCGGUGCAUGUUUCCACUAAAGUGUUCAUUAUUAAUUAAUUAUAUACAAAUUUUGUAAACAAAUUAUAGCAUAAUUAUNNNNNNNNNNNNNNNNNNNNNNNNNNNNNNNNNNNNNNNNNNNNNNNNNNNNNNNNNNNNNNNNNNNNNNNNNNNNNNNNNNNNNNNNNNNNNNNNNNNNNNNNNNNNNNNNNNNNNNNNNNNNNNNNNGUCCAAAUGAAACUAAGUAAAGAACAACAAAAUAAAAAAAGUUACACCCAAUUAAUUUGUUUCCAAUUUAAUACCAAAAUCCUAGUUGUUUUUGUUUUGGGUGGAAAAUUUUUUGCGUUUGAAGAUUUUUGAUCUUUUGGAAAUGAAUUAAUUACACGAUUUAUAUUUAUUUAAACAAAGUUAGAAUGAGGAUGGUUAAUGUUUAUAUAUCAUGGCUAUUUGCAUUAUCUAUUGCUAUUCUUAUGGAGGUAUUAAGAGAGAUUCAAACUAUAAUUAAAGCUAAUGAAAAAGUAAGGUCGAGUGAAAGAUAAAUUUGGACAGACUGUCUGUUUGGUGUGAUUUUGUCUAUCUCCUUUCCUUCUUAGGUCAUCUCUUGUAUUUAUAGGCCAUGAGUGGUUAACAUCUUGGGAAGAAGCACCUGUCAUGGUAGUUACUUCCCACUACUUAAUGUGGCUAUGAUUAUUGGCGGUUCAUAUCAUUCAACUAUAUGUGAUGGCGGUUUCUUCUCUUCAAUGUGCUCGGUGUGGUACCUUACAGCUUAAUGGCCUUACCUUAGAGGUUCCUUCAUGAUGGAAUGAUGGCAAGCCUUGACAUGAUGAUCAUAAUGGUUGUGAUGAUCACAUACGUGACGAAAAUGGCCCACCGACCAUAUGAUUAUGUUAUGGUACCAUUGAUAGUUUGAUUAUUGGUAGCCACAUUGAUCCUACCUUGACCAGUUUUUGCUCCGGGUUUGAUGAUAUUUGAUGGUUAUAAGUGCCCGGUUUGAUUAUUAGUGCAUUUCGUGCUCGUUUCCUCUCGAACGGACCAUUUCGGUUCGUUUCAAUUGUUUCUUGGAGUCUCUUUCAUGAUUUCAGGUAUUCGUUGGAUAGAGGGUUCGAAUACAAAGCCGAUGGUACCUUCCGGAGCGAAAUCGGAGUCCGAAUGAAGAAGUUUAGCUGAAAGAAGUCGAUCAAUGCUGAUGUUGACCAGUCAAGGCCGUGUCACGGCCGUGAUGGGGAACCUGUUAUUCCGCAACAAUUGGAUGAUCCAAAACCCGAAUAAGGUAUUUCCCCAUAGUCGUUCUCAUCUUAAUUUGAUCCGUAACCGUUGAGUGAUAUACUUGCAUUCCUGGUUUCCUGUUUCAUUUAGUAGUUGUUAUGUUUUCAUUUUAUAGUUUAGAAUUUGACUCUGAGAUAUUUGAGUAUCAUCAUUUUAUAGUCUAGGAUAAAACUGUUUGCAAACUGUGAUCGACUAACCAGCGAACCAAAGCUGAGUAGUGAAGGCCAAGUGACCCGAGAGAAUUCGACUCUGAGGUAUCUCAUGAUCAUUUGAUUGUUUGGGCUGUAAAAUCCUGACAUCAAGUUGGCGCCGUUGCCGGGGACAUACUUGACUUCACGAAAGGUGUAGGUAGGAUUGCUCGCUUAGUCUUUGUUUUCAUGUUUGUACAUAUUUGAUUUCUUAGUUGGUUUUUGUUUCUGUUUGUGCAGUUUGUUUUUGUUCUUUUUCACCCCUUUUGUGUUUGGUGUUUUGGAUAGUUCAGCUUUGUUUGCAGGAUGAAGUAUGGAUAACCAUGCACAUAUGUAAUUUGACCCUACCAAUCAAGGCUUCCCGUCGGUUCAUUAUGGAUAUCAGAAUGAGUAUGAUUGUGGUUAUGGUGAUUUCACCAAUGGGAAUUUGAAUGAUCAAGGCUAUUCAAAUUGGCAAGACCAAUCUAGCUUUCAUGGUGAUUCACAAUUUGGAAACUCGAUGAAUGGGAAUUAUGGUCCCUCCACUUCCAAUGAAGAUACUGUUAAGCUAAUCCAAGACAUUGAAGCUCGCUAUCAUGCCGAUAUAGCUAUUCAAGUGGCUCACAAUGCAAGGAUUGAAUCAACUUUGGGAGAGCUUCAAGAGUCCAUCAAUGUCAUAGCUUUCCAACUCAAAGAAGAAAGAAAUAGUCACCGAGCAUCUCAACAAGAAACUAGCUCUUCACGCUCUAUCAUGAAAACAAAAAGCGUUGAGAAGUUGUUAAGUGACUUUACAAGACAACUUGGGGCUAGAUUGGUAAAACAAGAAGACAAGAUUGAUCGCUUGUUAAGUAAAAUGGAAAUCCUCCAAGAUGCUUUCUUUGAAUUGGAAUACAAGACUCGAGCUUGGCAUACUAACAUUUGAGAAAAAAUUAAAGUGGCGGGACAAAUUGAAGAUGUUGGUGCGAUCGAGGAGGAGUCUAAAGAUGAGAAGGCUUUUUUGGCUAGGCUGAGACAGGGCGACAUUGAAGAAUUUCCGUUCUACUUCUUUGAUGAAGAAGAGGAAAAUUCAUAUAUGGCUAAGUUGAGAAAGGAUAUAAUUCCUAGUCCUCCUCUUCUGGUCAAAGACAUUGAAAUUCCGUCCUACUUUUUCGGAAGUGUAGAGGAUGAGGAGCUUUAUAGAGUUCACAAUGUUAGCACCACUCCCUUGGUCAUAGAUGCUCAUAAUGCACCCGAAGAGCCUAAGGUCUUAGAAAAGUCAACCAUUUCAAAUGGCGACUCUACCUCCUCUUCAAAUGAAACAUCAACGAAAUUCUCUGAACCUCCUACUAGGGCAACCAAAAGGAAGCGUCUAAGUAGAAGGAAAAGGAAGAGGCGCCGCAACGAAUUGAUGAUAGUUGAGGAAGCCGAGAGCAAGAAGGAUGUGCCUUUACUUAGUCCUUUAAUGAAUAUUGACACCACUCCUACUGGUUGUGUUGAGUUUACUCAUCCACAAUGGGGAAGCAUUCAAGUUACUUUUCCUAACCACAUCUACUCAACGACCAACGAUUACAUGAACUACAAGAAGCUUCUUGGAUGGGAUGGUGAUUGCUAGUCUAGCUCCACUUCACCACGUCAAGCUAAUGACGUUAACUAAGCGCUUCCGAGAGGCAACCCGAGUUUCUAUCAUUUUCUUUUAAUUCUUUGCUCUUUUCUUUGUUUCUUAUAUUUGUUUCAGGUUUUCCAACAUUCCUCUAAUCAUCGACUUGGAUUAUUCUAUUUUGCAGCAUCUUUGUGGGUUGUUCCACCCUCCAUCCUUUGUCCUUGUUCUUAACGGUACACUUUCUCCUACUCUACUAUAUUUUGGUCCCAUUGAGGACAAUGUGAUGUUUAAGUGUGGGGAGAAUUGUGAAAGUGCACCAUGCUUGUUAUUGUUGGAUGUUUAGGGUGCUAGUUCAUUUUGGCUUCUUCUUUGGAUUGAUGCAUAUUGUGGCUUACUUUUGCUUUUCGAACCUCCCUUUCGAAUUUGAAUCUGUGGAUGUCUUUGGAUGCAUUCUUUGUAUUUUCAUACUGCUUGAGGAUGAAUAGGUUGCUAAGUAAAUCAUUUGUGGACCACCUCCCAUUUUUCUGAAAUUAGUUUGCUUCGAACUUGUGCAUAUGGAAGUAAGAGUUUUCGCCUCUACUUGUUUGAUAUGUAUGAUAGAUUCUCUUUGUAGAGCUUGUUUGUGGUGUUAUGAAGUCAAAAUGGACGGUACAGAUCCGAAUGAGGAUGCUUGAAUAAAAAUGUCUUUGGGUUUGGUUACAACCUAAACACGUGUGGCGACCCUUGAGGUCCGCCUUCUUCCCAACCUUUAUGAGGUUUUGGGCGUGGGACGGAGACUGGUUACUUUCGAGUCCGGUCAUGGUUGUAUCAAUUCUCUUUGAAAAAAAAAGUAAAGAAAAGAGAGGAAGAAGAGUUAGUUGAAAACCAAUACAAAAGAAAGAAAAGCAGAAUAAAAGAAGAGGGGGGUGCUAGUAUUUUUGGUGAUAGUUGUGUUAUGAUUAGACAACCCCUCCCUUAGGAGGGGGGAAAUACCCAGCCAGAACCGUCCGUCCGUCCAUUUCUUCCGCUAGUACCACACGACAUAAGUGCAAUGGAGAAACUCUUAUAUAUUCGCUUGUAUAGGUGUUUAGUCAUAAUCUCUAUAUGUUUGAGUUUGGAGUGAACUUUUCUAAGGGAUUCGGUGUCUUGUACAUAAUUGAGUGGUUUGAUGAUCAACUUGCAAUUUUGGCAUCGAGAAGUAGGCUUGAAAUGCUAGGCUAUGUAUUUCCUUUCACCAUGAUUCGAGUCCUCUUUGGGUGUUAUUAGUAAAUUUGCUUGAGGACAAGCAAUGUUCAAGUGUCGGGGAUUUGAUAGCUUGAUUAUUUGUAGCCAUAUUGAUCCUACCUUGACCAGUUUUUGCUCCAGUCUUGAUCAUUAGUGUCUGGUUUGAUCAUUAGUGCAUUUCGUGCUAGUUUCCUCUCGAACGGACCAUUUUCGUUCGUUUCAAUUGUUUCUUGGAGUCUCUUCCUUGAUUUCAGGUAUCUGUUGGAUAGAGGGAUCGAAUACGAAGCCGACGGUACCUUCCGGAGCGAAAUCGGAGUCCGAAGGAAGAUGUUUUGGCUGAAAGAAGUCGAUCAAUGCUGAUGUUGACCAGUCAAGGCCGUGUCACGGCCGUCACGCCUGGUCUGGGCAGCAACAUUAAUUCAGCCCCAGACGCGAUUUCAGAGGGGGAAGAAGACAGAAAAUGACGAACUAAACACAAAAUUGGUGAUAAGUGGUUUUAGGAUGUGAGUUUAUAAACCCGAUCUUAAGACCCGAAAUAUAUCAUUAUCCAUGUUCCUGUUUAUUCUGCUGCUGAAUAGUUUCUCAUAGUCCUUUGGAUGAUCCAAAACCCGAACAAGGUAUUUCCCCUAAGUCGUUCUCAUCUUAAUUUGAUCUGUAACCGUUGAGUGAUAUACUUGCAUUCCUAGUUUCCUGUUUCCUUUAGUAGUUGUUCUGUUUUCAUUUUAUAGUCUAGGAUAAAACUGUUUGCAAACUAUGAUAGACUAACCAGCGAACCAAAGCUGAGUAGUGAAGGCUAAGUGACCCGAGAGAAUUUGACUCUGAGGUAUCUCAGGAUCAUUUGAUUGUUUGGGCUUGAAAACCCUAACAUCAACCAUAUGAACACGUGACUGUAGUCAGGAUUGACCAUAAGAUGGUAAGUAGGGGUGCCGCCUCGAGAGAUGGCAGCGACACGAUGGCGCAACUGUAAGUUGGAAUGAUGAAACAACACAGUCCCACAAAUGAGUGUCGCGCUUGAAGACGAAAUAGAACGGUGCCGCGAAUGAUGACGAUAUGCCACAAUGCUACGAGUGAUGACGACAUGGUACGGUUCCGCCAGUAUUGGCGACAUGGCACCGUCCCGCGAGUGAACACGAGUCCGUGAGUGAUGGCGGUACGACACGGUACCGCGAGUGAGCAUGGUGCCUUGAUUGAUGGCGUCACAUGGCACGGUGUCGUUAGUAACAGCGACACGACACGGUGCCCCGAUGCAUCAAUAGGAAGAACACAUCCUUGUGUUUAGAUCACGUCGUGUUCUUUAAAUAUAUAGAAUUUGAUAAUUUCAACGACAUAAAAGUCAUAGACAAUUGAAUUAGCUUUCCAACAUCACUGACCUUGCAUCGAUCGGAAUUUCGAGCGAUGAGUUAUGCUCAAAAUACUAAACUGUGACGUUUCUUCUCAAGUCAAACGCAUUGAGUUGUUCCGGCCUCCUCGUCAUGCCUUGGUUCAUCCUGAGAUGCCAUAUGACACCUAAAAUGUACCAAAAACAUUCAAAGCAACGUAACACAACAAGAGGCCAAGAGGAACUUCUGAACGGAUAUUACUUGUCUCAAAUAAACCUAGAUAAUGAAUUAACUAGAGUUGAAUUUCCCUAGGGUCUCUUUAUCGUGACUAUUCAAAGUUAUGAAAAGUGUUAAUCGGCUAAAAGGUUUGUGGUUUAGGUGCCACGAGAAUCAAUCAAUCAAAAAGAAAAUGAAAUUUCUAUAAAUUAAAAACUAAAAUAAAGGUUGCAAGACUGCACGAUAUGAGGGUUGAAACAAACUAGAGAAAAUGGCUUAGACUUUAAAUCCUCCUAGAUUAUCCAAAUUCAUGAAUGACUAACAAAUUCAACGAUUUGAGCAAAACAAGAUAGAUUUAAUUAACCGUCGUAGUCCUUCUCUAAUCAAAUCACACCCUUUUGGGUCCGCUGAUCUGCUACCUAUCUACUAUCCCAAUAUGCUCUUUCGAGACGUAGAUAUGAAAUCCACUAGGCGACAAAAAGAAUGAGAACUACUCACACGAUAGACUAGUUUAUUCGCUCCCGGAUGAGGGUUAACACCUAACCUAGUUGUUUAAUUUCCGUGUUCUAGAUAUGCAAGCUCUUUCGACACGAAGAAAAAUCUAACAAAGUGCUAUUCAAGACGGCCAAUCAAGAAUAAGAACGAAAACGAAAUCAAACAUAAACCAAAAUCCAUCCAACUCGCAUAAAUCGUCAAAGUCAAACAAUCAUACGUUCAUAAGGAAUUACCUAGGGUUCAUCUAAUUUAAGCACAAGGAGUUUAACUACUCAUAAUCAUAAAGAAAAACUCAAAAUCAACAAAGGAAUACAUUGGAUUUAUGUUUACAAGAAGAAAUCCGAAAAACUAAUCUCGCCAAGAACUGUGGAGGAAAUCGAUCCGCCAAUCUUGAUUAUGUCUUCUGAUCCGAGCUCCUUGAAAUUGAAGCCUUCUGAAGUCUCUGGCCUCUCCUUUAACUUUCAUUCAAAAGGGUCUCCUUCCAAAUAAUGAAAGAUCUGUCUUUAAAUAGGAAAAGAGUUCCUUAUUGGGCAAGGAGUUUCACUUUGACCAUCACGCUAAUCUGUUCUCGGCAGUUUUGGCCCCAAACCUUGACAGUUCUGGCCAAAGUUAUCACCAUCAAAGUUGUAAGAAAUCAAGCUAUCUUUUCAAUGCCGCAUGCUUUGCAUUAAUCGGACUUUGGAUCAAGGAGUUAUACUCAAAAUACUAAGUAUAGCGCAAAGAUUGACGAAAUUUCCAGAAACGAUUGUCAACUUUGCUGCUAUGGUUAUGUGUCAAUAUUGCCUCCAUAGAGGAAAUAUUAACAUAACUUCCUGAUUUCCAACGUCGCCGGCCUUGCAUCAAUCGGACAUCUGCACUGUGAUGUUUUUCGAACAAGUCGAGAUCCAAGCUCCUUGAAGAUGUCAAAAUGCUUUCUAUUGCUUUUCCUAGACCAUCCACACACAUCGUAUCGCUCCGAUUAAUGCCUUGAUGUCGUUAUGUACCUGAAAUCUAUAAAAAAACAAUCCAAAACGACAUGAAAUGGGCCCCGACCGGGUCUGAUACACUAAAUCUAGAUAUAAGCUUAAAAUGCAUAAAAGAAUCUUAAACUUCUACCUAAAGCAAUACAAUUAUGCAUGAAAUAUCACUUAAAUGAGGUGAUAAAUGUGACAAAUCUAGCGUCAUCAAAUAACCCCACACUUAAGUUUUGCUUCCCCUCAAGCAAAAAGCUGAUAAAGUUAUGAAACACAUCUACAAUCAAAUCAACUACUAACAUAGAUAAAAUCCACAUUCCUCAAAGCAUCCAUAAAUUGCUUAACAGACAAGCGAACCUUUAAAUGAAACCGAAAUAGGUAGUAAAGGCCUCACAAGAAGUUCUUCAACUUGCCACACAUCAUCACACAUGUUAUACAAUCCAUCUAGACUUAUUCUCAAAAGGACUCGACUUAAAGAUGAAGUCGAAAGAACUCACUCAAGUGUUCGAGAAUAGUGUUAUGCGCUCAUCAUCAACUCUGAGGUGGGCUUCAAACACUUGCACUUAAUCCUACUUUUACUCAUUACAUCAAGGCACAUCAAACACUAAUCAAGAAGUCUUUUAUUCGAGGUUGUAAUGUGGAUAGAAAAGAGUAGAGAAGGUCAAAUGAUUUUGGUGGUAGGCGUACAUAGUGGCGGACGACUCGGUCUAAUCUAAUAUGGAGUGAAGCUACCAGCACAACUAAAACUAUGCAAGGAUCCAACUUUCUAUAGGAGCUCAAACUAGCUCGUCUAUCUCUUAUUCUAACUACAACUCCGAGCAUUUAUGCUCGUUUAAUCAACUUUUUUAUUUUUUCAAUUUUUUUAUCUCGAGACUGUGUUUUUUCACUUGUCUCUUCCCUUUUUGCGAGAGUCCUGCCUUCUUUUUCUCUUUUUCUAUUUCAAAAUUACACCUAUUAAUCAAACAGAUUUAAAAGACACUAUACAAUCAUACAUUCUUCAAAACGUAGAAACUUUAUUAACUCCUAGACUCGACCGAGUUACAUGCCACUAAUGUACACAUGAUCAAAUGAAGGCUUGAAAGAAGGGGAUACAAUAUUAUGGGGGUUAUGAAAAAGGGCAGUUGGCUAUAAUUGGGUUUUUCUAGGAAAAAAUAUAAGGAAGGGAUGGAUAUUUUGUGGUGGAGUUUUUCUAAUUGCCCCUAUCAUUUUAGUGAAUCAGUGUCGAGCGAAUUCAGUUCGGAAUCAUGCAAGUGUCGGAUUAACAACAAACAGAGAUGACCACUCAAAUCAAUUUAUGAAAUAAUCUAUUGAUGAAGCAGAUUAUCUAUACUACAAAAAUGGUCUUUUAGGCCUCGCAUUGUUUUGCUAUAUGGUAAUUCGAUAACAUGCAUGUCUGGUCACAUGAAGUUGGAGAGUCCAUGCUACUUUAAACACAUCAAAGUAACUCUAAAGAAUGAAUCAAUAGCCUUUGAUCAUAGGCCAAGACUCCUAUCAAAUUUAGGUUCAUGAGUAAAUUAGCAAUUCAAGUGUGGAAAUCAUAGGGAAAUAUUCUAAGCAUGCCAAGUAAUCAAUUCAAAGAUGGUUCCAAUAAACUUGAGAUUUGGACUAAUAUGCAAGACGACUACCCAACAAAACCAGCUAACAAGAAUCCUAUAAAAACCCACCCCACACUUAGUUUGGAGACUGUCUUCACUUAACGAAACGAAAAGUUUCAUAGGAAUACCUGGAAGCCGUGAGAAAUCCGAUAAGCAAGAUGCAUGAUCCAUUAAGUCCGAGAUCGGUUGUGACACUAACUCAUGAAAAGACGUAAAACAUACACAAAGAAAAAAUAAAAGUAAAAUGGACUAGGACAAGUGUCCAAAACCCACACAAAAUAAAAUGAAUUUAUGAUCCAAAAAGAAAGAAAGAAAAGGUCCUAAGGUGAAACCUAAACAUCAAGACUGACUCUAAAAUUGAAAAAUUAAAAUGACUCCAAAUAUGGGAUGCCUCCCAAGAAGCGCUCUUUCUUUAACGUCUUUGAGCUAGACGAUACCUGGAUGGUUAUGCAAUCCAACUAAUUACCUCUUUGAAUGCCAUCGGUUUCUUCAUGGUGAAAAGUUGAGUGUCGAGAAAUAGUUAAAGCCGAUGAUGGAAUAACCUGAGAAUUUUACUCGAAAAAUAUUUGUCAUCCCCAAAUGACCAACUCCUUCUAAAAUUAUAUGCUUGAGGAGGAAAACGGUAGAAAGGUGUAUCACCAUCAACAACCUCAACCUUCUCCAAACUAGUGAUGGCGCUUGAAACGUCUUCUGAUUUGAGCGUGAGUGGUUCUUCUUCUACGAUCUCUUCAACCUUGGUGUUCAGGUGCUUGCUAUCAGUUUCCUGACACAAGAACUUCAUGACCGAGCAAGAAUUUUGAAUGGCCUCAACAUUCUUUGGUGGAACCACAAUUUGAGCGAUUCCCUCGUCGAUGGAGCUUUGAAUGUCCUCUGUCACCAAGCUUGGAGUAUGAGCUUCAUCUUUCCAUAAUGUUUCGAUGAGAUAAUCACUGCCAUCUUCUUCAUGUUCUUCUAGUUCUUCAUCACAGAUAGCUUGAAUUUCCUCAAUGACUUGGUCCCGCAUAUCUUCAUCAUCAUCCCAAAAGCUUGAAGAAGACCCAUCCCAUUCACAUUUUCCAAGUUCAUCACCAUCACGUAUAUCCUAAACUUCUGUAAUGAUUGGUGUAUCCUCUAGAUCUUUGUCGUCAUCCUCUAAGAAGUUAAAAGGUAAAUUAGUCUCAUCCAACUGAGGAUCUUAUAGCUUUUCCUCACCGUUGGCUACAUUUUCCAGGUUGGGUUCAUCUUCUUCCUCUAUCACUAUCAUGUCUCUUGUAAUAGUGAACACAUCCUGAAUGUCUUCAUCACCGUCAAGCAUGUCAUCCUUGUCAAGGGGCUUGCUGGUUGCGGGCUCCAUCAUCUCCUCUCUAGCAUUCUUUCUCUUCAUAAGUUCUUCCUGGGCUGCCUUCAUUUCCUCAAACCACAAUAUGUUUUUAACAACGUUGUAUUGAAUGUACUCUUUUAGUUCUUCAAAAGCUACAGGAGAUUGAUAGUGAUAGUUCUGCGUAGGCUCCUGGUAGUAUGGAGGUGAGUAUGGAUCUUCAUGACGGUAAUGACAUGGCGAUUGUUCUGGAUAGAAAUAUGGUGAUGGUUUAUUCUCGUUCUGACUCCACCAUUAAUUGUGUCUUAUGUAGUCCUGCAUCAUUAGACUCAAACAAAACAACCAAGGUGAAACUAGCAAAAGAAAAAAAUUCAAAAGAUGGAUAUAUACAAUGAAUGAAUAAACACUAACACACUCCUUUCAAACACAACAAAGAAGUCCCCUACAACGGCGUCAAUUUGAUGAAUGGACUUUACUCGUAUCAAAAUAAACCUAGUUAAUGAAUUAACUAGAGUCGAAUUUCCCUAGGGUCUCUUUAUCAUGACUACUCAAAGUUAUGAAAAGUGUUAAUCGGGUAUCAAGUUUGUGGUUUAGGUGCCACGAAAUCAAUCAAUAAAAAAAAAUGAAAUUGCUUUAAAGUUACUAGGUUGCAGGACUGCAUGAUAUAAGGGUUGAACCAAACUGGAGAAUAUGACUUAGACAUCGAAUCCCCCUAGACUGUCCAAAUUUACCAAUGACAGACAAAUUCAACGAUUUAAUCAAAACAAGAUAGAUUCAAUUCAUCGUCAGAGUCCUUCUCUAAUCAAACCACGCCCUUUCGAGUCCGACCUAUCUACUAUCUCAGUUCUCUCUUUCGGGACGAAGAUAUGAAAUUCGCUAGGCGACAAAACGAACGAGAACUGCUCACACGACGGACUAGUUUAUUCGCUCCCGGAUAAGGGUUAACGCCUAACAUAGUUCUUUAACUUCGCUGUGCUAGAUAUGCAACCUCUUUUGAGAUGAAGAAAAAUAUAACAAGGUUCUAUUCAAGAUGACCAAGCAAGAAAAAGAACAGAAACGAAAUCAAACAUAAACCAAAAUCCAUCCAACUCGCAUAAAUCGUCAAAGUCAAACAAUCAUCCGUUCAUAAGGAAUUACCUAGGGUUCAUCUAAUCUAAGCACGAGGAGUUUAGCUACUCAUAAUCAUGAAGAAAAAAUCAAAAUCAACAAAGGAACACAUUGGAAUUAUUUUUACAAGAAGAAAUCCGAAAACCCUAAUCUCGCCGAGAACCGUCGAGGAAAUCGAUCCGCCAAUCUUGAUUAUGACUUCCGAUUCGAGUUCCUUGAAAUUGAAGCCUUCUCGUCGCUCUGAAGUCUCUGACCUCUCCUUUAACUGUCGUUCAAAAGGGUCUCCUGCCAAAGAAUUAAAGACCUAUCUUUAAAUAGGAAAAGAGUUCCUUGCUGCGCAAGGAAUUUGACUUUGACAGUCACGCUAAUCUGUUGUCGACAGUGUUAGCCCCAAAUUUCGACAGUUUUGGCCAAAUUUAAUAUCAUGAAAGUUGUAUCGAACUAGCGUUUCAAUGUCGUUGGCUUUGCAUCAAUCGAACUUCUGAGUUAGGAGAUAUGUCCAAAAUACGAAAUUGCGAAUUUUUUUGACCAAGUCGAGAUCCAAUCUCCUUGAAGAUGCCAAAAUGCCUUCCAUUGCUUUUCCUAGACCAUCCACACACAUUAUAUCACUCCGAUUAAUGCCUCGAUGUCGCUAUGUACCUGAAAUCUAUAAAAAAUACUCCAAAACGACAUCAAAUACACCCCGACCGGGUCCGAUACACUAAAUCGAGAUAAAAGCAUAAAAUGCAUAAAACAUCUUAAAAUUCUACCUAAAGCAAUACAAUUACGCAUGCAAUAUUACUUAAAUGAGGGCGAUAAAUGUGACAAAUCUAGCGUCAUCGGGAACCAAAUAUGUACUAAACGUCAUGCAUUCGAACAUAGGCAUCCAAACGUCAGAUACCCUGUUGUAACAGCGGGGGUAUAUGUUGUCAUAUAACAACACUAAAAUAAAAAGGAUAAAACUGGUAAUUUGACCAACUGAUUUAUUUCAUCUAAAAUUCUAGAUAUGGUAUUUUUAAUAUCAAAACUACUAAUAAUGAGAAACUCCAAAAAAUCCUCCUUCACUCUCUCUCUCUCUCUCUCAUUCUCUUUCUCUCUCCAAGAUCUAAAAAAUGAAGAAGAACAAGAUAAAAAGAAAAAAUAACCGAUUUAAAAGAACAAAAAAAAGAACAAAUAGAUGUGGAAAAAGGGAAGAUGAAGAAGAAAAAGCCGAUCUAAGAAAAAAAAAGAAGAUGUCGAUUUGAAAGAUAAAAAAGAAGCCGAUCUAAAAGAAGGGAAAAAGAAAAAAAUAGCAACAAGAUCAAUCUGUCGGCCUAUCCGACACCGGACGAGACACGAAUUAAUGGCUGACACGGCUGAGUUUAAUGGAGAAUCCGACGAAAGCGCUCUCGUUGUAUUAGAUCCAAGCGGCUCCAACGAACAAAGGGUUCACGGCCACCGCCGCACAGGAAGGAAGGCAGCGGAUCUGGAAGAAGGGAAGAAGAAGUCGAUUUGGAAGUAGAAGAAGAACUCAAUCUGGAAGAAGGGAGGAAGAAGAACGAUUCAUGAAGUUUGUCGGUACUCGUGUGAUUUUUUUCAUUUCGUAUAUGUACCAUCGGGAGGUUGGUGGUACUGAUUUUGUUGUGUUUGUACCAUGUGUAGUUUGUAGGUACUGGUUUUUGUCUCAAAAUCCCGAAUAGUCACAGAUUAGUACCUGUGAAUGUGCUCUACUACAGAUUUACUAUUGUUUUUGUCUAGUUCUGUACAUGUGAAUGUACUCUAGUACUAAGUACUAUAUAGUGUGGUGAUACAGAUUUUAAUUAUAAGUAUAAAUUUUGUAUGUGAUAUUUUAAUUAUAAGUAUAAAUUUUGUAUGUGAUAAUGUAAUAACAUGUACCGAUUUGUAUUUAUAAGUACUAAUUUAUAUAGUAGAUACCAAUUUUAUCUCCAAUUGCAAUUAAAAGGUGAUACUGAGUUAUAUAAACUUUGUACCAUAUAUAUAUAUCAGGUACUAAUUAUCUCCNNNNNNNNNNNNNNNNNNNNNNNNNNNNNNNNNNNNNNNNNNNNNNNNNNNNNNUACCAGUACAAAUUUGAAUAAUAUAUAGAUAUCAAUUUAUCACCAACUGCGUAUCUAAGACUUUAAAGUGGUACUGAUUUAAAUAAACUCUGUACCGAACGUAUAUAUCAGGUACCAAUUGUAUUUCGAAUAAUCCUUCAAUUCCUUCGACGAGUGUAUUCUUAAAAAAAAUGUAAACCUCCAACCCCUAAAUUAAAGGCUGUCAUGGCGCUAUUUAAUUAAUAAUUAAUUUUUUAAUUAAAAAGAUAGUUUAAUUUGGUUGGAUUGGUACUUUCUUAAAGAAGAGAGCAUCUAUUUAAUUAGAUAAUUAAUUUUAAAAAGGUAGUUUAAUUUGGUUGGAUGGAUACUCUCCUAAAAAAAGAGGGAACAGUUAUUUUAAAGAAUCAGAAAUUGAAAUUAUUAAGUUGGCCAAUUAAUAUAGAUCAUUAGAUUUAUUUUUUAAAAAUGAAUGGUGGAUUUAAGUGUUGUUAUGUGAAUAAAACGAGGCGGGGGGGAGGUUAUGUGAAUAAAACGAGGCGGUCAUAACAGUUUAUUGUCCAAAACGUCUAUAAAUGUCAAUUAAAAAGGGAACAAAUUUGCUAAUAAUCGAGCAUAUUAGUCAGUCAGGUUAGGUUGAUCAGAUCACGAGUUUUUCGAAUUAUGAAUUCAUCGGGUCACGUAUUGGGCGGGUUACGAAUUUUUAAACUUUUGAAAAAUUAAAUCAUGGGCUAGGUUAAAUUGGACCUGAUAGAUGAGUCCAUCAAGUCGGGUUAGGAUUUUGCCAGCUCCGAUAGAAACCAUUACUUAAAGGCUUGUAUUAAUUAUUGAUGGCCCUGAAUCAUUGGUCCAAGCCACAACUACGACCCAACUUCAACACCGUACACUAUAUGAGCCCAACACACUACUCAAUAUUAUCUGAUUUAUGGUUGAAUUCGGAAAUCUAAUCUCAGUCACCAAUCGGAUGAAAGCAGUGUCCAAAUCGAAGUCUUAUUAAAUUGUUGACCGAAUAGACAGGGCUGAACUAAUGCGACCUGAUUACUGAGGCGAAUAUAACAAAUACGAGUUUUUGGUUUGUGAUUUUUUCUUCCAUAGGGAAAAUGUGCGGGAAUCAAAUCUAAGAGGAUGCGGGAGGGCAAAGAUACAAAGAAUCUCAUUCCAAUGGCCAUCAUUUCUUUAAGGAUAAACUGGAUAUAAUGCCUGAGAUUGGGAAAGGUUCAUCGUUUACUAAUUAACCUUCUUUCAAUAAUUACCCAGCAUUUUUUAGAUUAAAUUUCGAAAAAUGCACUGAAUUCGAACUCAAAACCUUCGAGAUCAUCAGACAGCUCUACCACCGGAUAUAUCCUUCAACCACACACGUCAUUGUAAACCACAUUCUACAACAAACGAUGUUAAUUAAGCACCUUAAAAUUCAGUCCAUAUAUAUAUAUCUACUACCAGGGGCGGAGCUACAUACAAUCUAAGGGCUGCAACGCACCCCCUUGGAUUUGGAAGAAAAAAAUACAGCUAUCGACUGCUUAUGUAGAGUUUUGAACUCACUCUAUCUAAUAUCCAAAUCAAUAACAUUACCAUUUCGCCUGUUCCCGCUUCUUUUUCAAGUACUGCACAUAAAGUAUUUUUAGUUGAGCAACUAACCUAGUUAUGGUGUGAUUGGCCCGUGCACAAUGUUUUUCACUAUAAACAGUUUGGGUUCAACUCAGCUAUUAUUCAACAAUUAUGCGAAUAUGAAGUAUUUUUGUUGUUGUUUUAUACUUCUUUCAUAGUAUUAACUUACUUUUUUAUAGUACGAAUUAAACACCCCUUAAUCGAUUUUUUGGCUCCCUCACUUUCUACUACCUUACCACAGUCCACGUAACUUACUGAAGAUUGGUAACCAUACUCGAGAAGUCUCACACAAAUGGCCGAAAUGAUCCACAAUUCAAUCCGCAAAUUUUUGGGUUAACGUCAAUUUUCAGAAAUAGCAAUUUGCCACCUGUACUGAUUCGAAUCGAGCUAACCUGUAAUCCAAUUUGCCCAACUCACCCGAAAUAACAGUUAUUAAGCUUCUACUAGCUAUAUAUGUCUAGUAGUCCUGAUUGGUCCAAGAUGGAAGCUAAAUGAUUGAAGUACUGACUUGAAUAUACUAGCUGUACGUCAGCGAAAUCUCGCUUUGCAGAGAAAAGCAAAAUUGGUUGGAGUGUGUUUCCAAGUAGGCCAAAAUAGACAGUUGCUGGCGGCUGGCGGUCCAGAGAGCCAACAGACUCAGAAUGAAUGAUGUCAUAAAGACUAGCUCAACAGUCAAGUCCAUAAUAUAAUUCUAACAAAUCUUACAGAGGAUCUAGUACAUUUUUAUUAUGAUUUUGAAACAAAAUUGACAGAUGAUUACGUGUCUCUCUGACAGCUUUGUUCUCUUUGGGGGGGGGGGGGGGGGAGGGGGGGGGGACACAGACACAAUCACCAAAGUUCAGCAGCACACCGAAGUAGACAGUGAACUCAAACAGGUAACAUUACAAACUGUUGAAGAGGAAUUAAUUAAGUUGCUUCACCAGCAACACAUACAUAUGCAAGCAAAUGUGACCAAAACUGGUAUAGCUAGGUCCAUGCAUAUAUACCAUACGUGUACUCAGCUUUCAAUAAUAUGCAGCCCAACAUUUCGAAAAAGAAAAACAAUAUGCAGCCCAAAGACAUUAAUUCAAUCAAAGCAAACUGCUAACUCCAGACCAAACAUUUAUUUGACUCUCUAUACUAACACCAAUUAUAACGACUAUUUGCAUCUCAAUAAUUCGAAUUAUUGGAAGGAUUCAGGUACACCCCAUCAAACUAAAGCACUCGUAAGAUCAUGAGGUAGACUGUGAUACCAUGUCAAGAAACCAUUAAUUAUAUCCAAAGUUGUUAGGAAAUGAUUCAAAUACACUAAUACCAUACGGAAACUCUCAUAAGAUCUUAUGGUAGCUUAUGAAACCAUGUCCAAAACCAUUGCAUCCCAAUAACUUGAGUUGUUGGGAUAUGAUUCAUAUAAUUUUGUUCGGCAAAAAUAUAGCUAGGCAUCGCAUUUACGACAUUUGAAGAAGAUUUUUUUAUGAAAGCGGAUUAUAAUGCGAAUAGGAAGGAAAAAAACGCGACACAAGAAGUGAAUCAGAGUAAACGAGGACGAAAGGAAAAGAGACAAGCAAGAACAGUUACUCAAGAGAGAUUGCGAUUGAUUUCAUUGUCGCCAUUGAUCCGGAUUCGUUUGUGAACGAAUUGAUCACCAACCAAACUCAACACAACCACAACCCUCAAGAGGACGUAGAUUAAUUCCAAGAGACAACAAGAGAAAAUCACACAUCGAAGGACGGAACAAAGCAGUAACACGCUAGCUAGCUAGCCAGGGAGAGAUCUAGCCUACACGUUCUUCUCCCGUUGGAGUAACUAAACAAUGAAAUCUAUCUGAAGAAGAUUGAACUGCGAUAAGAGUAACUUAACAAUGAAAUCACAACCAAUUUCACAUAAAACAUGAGCAACUAAACGAUUGUGAUGAAUAUAGGUCAUGUAAAUGACAAGAACACUUCUCCAAUAACCGAACCAAACCAAACCAAGCCAGAUAUAUAUAGAUAGCAAAUACUGUUAGUUACCAUACAAAUUAUCUCAAAUUGAUCAUCAUCCCCAAACUUAUUAGGGUACAUAUGUAGUUACGUUCAUGACAAAUUGUCAAGAGACUGACUGGAAAAGGGUUCCAAUUUUUCACUUCCUGUGCAGGAAAGGGAAAAAGAAACCCUAAUUCAACUUCUUGCUCUUCACUAAACUCAUACUGAGAGAACAUUAAUUUAAAGAGUAAAAUUAUAUAAUAGCUAGGGUUUCGUUGCUCGACCUUUGUUUUCAAAUUUCAGCAGCAAGCUAAGCUUAGCCUUGCCUCCUCCUCCGAUUCUCUUCUUGCUCCAGCAUCUCAUCCAGCAACCUAUUGUCCAAGUACUCCAACUCCACCACUUGUCUCGAGCUGGAGGAUGACGAUCCGGCAGCUGCAGAUGUGGCAGCAGAAGCCGGGCCCCUCCCCAUGGGGUACUCAUGGGGGAAGUUGAGGACAGCAAUGUGUCCUCUCAUCGCAUACGCAGCGCGGUCGUAUGCUCUUGCUGCUUCCUCCGCACUGUCGAAUGUCCCCAACCAUAUCCUCUGCCCGUUCCUCGUCGAGUCCCGUAUCUCCGCCGCGAAUUUUCCCCAAGGACGGCGCCGGACUCCUCUGUACCUUACAUCUCCUCCUCCGCCGCCGCCUUCUUCACCUGUUGCUUGAUUGUCCAUAGUGGGGUAAGUUUUGGAAGGAAUGGUGCAUGGCGAAUAUAUGUGGAGGAAGAAUAUAUAUAUACAUGUGAUAAAAAGAUAUAGAAAUUUUCGGGCAAAUGGAGACAUGCACUUUAACUUUGUGUGGGCUUGGGCUGCAAUUGGAGAGUCAAAGUGGGGGAUUUUGCCACGUGGAGAAUCGUGUGGGUUGAACAAGGUUCUGGUUAUGUUUGAGUCCAUUGUAUCUAGAUGGUCAAGCUGAUGGCUUUGAUCACUGAAGAGGGGACCUGCAUACCCUUUGAUAGACCUUUUCUCCCCCGAUCGAUCAACAAAAUUCUGUCCCUUAUUUAUCAUAAAAAAUAAGAAAUAAAAAAAAACAAAAUUCCUUUAUUUUUUCUUUAAAUAAUAUUUUUGAUGAGAAAAAGUAGGAAAAGGGAAAUCUGUGGAGGGUUAUUAUUGUGUGUUUUUGUACUGACUGUUUACAUGCCCACUUGCUAAGCUACCUAUAUUAUAUUAUAGUGUGUCAUUAAUGAGCUCACCAUACACUUCUUUGAUAUCACCACUUUGUCACUCACGGUUACUUAAUGAUCACUUUCCUCUAUACUAUCAUCCAACAGGUUACUAUAAUAGACUAAAUUCAGUUCGAAUUGAGUACACUCCACGAAAUAGACACUUUUAUAAUAUUUAUUUAGAGAUCUCUCUCCGACAAAAUGCACCAAAUCCAAUAUGCUAACGCAUGAUCAUGAUAUUGUCCUCUACGUCAUCACUAAGCCAAGGGCUUCGAUUAACUUAUAUGUAUCUUAUGUUUGGAGUAUGGAAAUUUGACACAUAUAAUUAAAACAUCUUGGUAACUAAGUUGAGACUAAAGAUUUGUCAUUAUUUUCCUUGGUUCACUGGUCCAGAAUAUGCAUUGCAUGUGAAUUCGAAUCCAUCUAACUAAUUCAAUAGUUUGAAUUAUUGGUGGCUUUUAGUACAAACCGUAGGGUUAGUAAUCCUACAACUGCAUUGUUGCUGAUGUCAUCUUGGCUUAUAUCAUCAUGACAUCACCGUCAUCACACACCACCCAACUUAUUGUUCUUUGCAUAUAUAUCCGUACUUUCACUUUGCAUUCAUGUUUUGGAAUUUCCAAUGUUGUGAGAAAGAUAGGAAAUAUAAAUUCCUUUUCUUGUUGGUAUAUAUCAGAGAUCUUUACAUGUUGCAUGUCGGUCGGAACUUAGAAUUCCACUGUUUUUAUUUUGUUUUUAAAACAAAGAGUGGUUAUCAAAUAAAGGAAAUAUGCUUUCAAUGCGCGGCUAUUGAUCCGAUAGCCCUUUCUGUCAGGAUCAAUUCGACAAAUCGUAGCCGUUGGAUCAGGUUAAUUUUGGGCCAAUUUUUAUCCCACGGUUAAAAAUAAUGGGGUAGUUUCGGAAUAAAAAUUGAAAAAAACUCACAUGAGUGUGGUCAUUGUACGAGCAUGUUAUGUCGCUAAUACUACCAUUUUACAGGCUCGUUAUGUCGUUAUUACGUCCAUCGUAUGAGUAGUUGAAUUCGUCAUCAUUAUGUCUAGUUUACCACUCUUUUAUAUCGGUGAUAUAUACACUUUACGAGUCUGUUAUGUGUUUUUAUUAUAUCCUUAAUAGACUCAUUAUGUCGACUUCAUAUGUAAAUUGUUAUAUCCAAGUUACGUCAUUAUUACAUCAUUGUUAUGUCAUUACUAUAUCUAGUUUACGUGAGAAUAGCAGAGAGAGAAAAAAGAAAGAAAAGUUGAAAGAGGGAGAAUAUUUUUUAAAUUCUCGUUAUAUCCCUGAUAAAAUUCCAACCGUCGGAUUAAAAUUGAAAAAAAUAAUUUUGAACCGUUAGAUUAGCUGUCAGAUUUUUAUUGGACUAGUUUCCCCAUAUCAGAGAAAUUAAAAUAGCGCACCAACCUAACGUAGACUCAAUAAAAAAAUAAAAGAUGGAGAAAGAGGGGAUAUGGAAGAGAGGGUCGGACAAAUGGAGAGUCAAAAAAUAAACAAUCAAGGAAUAUCACCAAUAAGUAAAAUGAUGUUAAGCAACACGGAAGAAAAUAGAAGGAAUUGAAACGCAUAUUUAACAAUAUUGUGGGUCUCUCUGUUAAGUUGUCGUCAAAUAUAAUUACAAUGGGAAUCUGGAAAUUAUUUCAAAUAUCCUCUGAUCUCUUAAAAAAUUUCCUCACUCUUAGAAUGUAGUAAAAUUGAUUAUUGAAUACGGUAUUGUAAAAGUUUAACAUCUCCUUCAAAAUUCACAUUUAGCUUAUUGAUCCGGAAGAAAGAGCAUUUGGAUCAAUUGCAUUUUUCGCCUUUUGCGGGUCGGUUAACGUUAACUCACUUUGUACUCUCUGCGAUUCUUGCUUCCAUAUCAUACAAACUUCGGUCCUUCAAUCCACUAUUUGUUAUGAGAUUGACAGGACAAUAUCAAAUUUUGUAUGGGAAACCAUGGCGAAGUAGUGAAAGACGCACCGCACCUACUAUCUUGGGAGGCUAUCUGCGCACCUAUGCUGGAAGGGGGAUUAGGUCUUCGGUUGGUGCAUGUACUGAAUCAUGCAUACAUAAUGAAACUACAAUAAAACUUUUAUAAAUUAAUAUAGUCAAAAUUAUAAAAAAUAUUAAUUUAUAAUAGCUAUUUUGUAAUGUGUAUGGUUAACAAUAAACGACUUUAUAACCUUAAAAUUAUAUUUAUGAAUGGUGUGUUAAUUUUAUUUUAGUAUAAUUUUUUUUUAAACUUAACUUUAAGGUUUAUUAUAUUAUUUUAAUCGUCCAAAUUCAUACAUAAGUACUUGGAUACCCUGCAUUUUUGUAAAUGGUCAAAUUCAUGUUUUAAGUUACUUGCACCUCUAUAUUCAUUGAUCAUACCUUUAAUAUAAUUCAUCGAAUAUAUGGUGAUCCGAUUACUAUAAAUACUACCAAAAAUUGUAAAAAUCAUAUUCAAUAAUGGCUUCUCAUUUGAAAGGUUUCCAAAAGUCUACCAUGACCGAUCAAAUAUGUAAACCGUUAUGUGAGUUCAAUUUGCUCAAUUUUUUCAUCGGCCCAAGUCGGGACCGAAAAAUUAUUAAUUUUUUUUGUUCAAAGAACUCCAUUGAAGGAGGACCAUAGCUAACAUGCCUAAUUAGAGCGAAAAAAAUCCAAAAAAGAGGAUUGGGGUAGGGAGGAGAAGGGGGUUUUAGAAGGAUGACAAAAGGGUCAGGGGAGGGGAAAGAGAGAAAAAUGGGGAUCAUAUAGGAAGAAAAAAUCAUCGAUUAGGUAUUAACGAUCGUGUGGACCAUUAGUACUAUAGAGGUGCGGCAAAUUACGCAAUCCAAAAGAUUGUGGUAAAAAUUGGAGGAAAAAUCGGACAGCUAGAUGAGCAUCAUGAACAUUAGACCUUGUAACUUGGUAACAUCGAAAAAGGGGCCAAUCUUCUAAAAGUUUUCAUAGUUCGAGAAUGAUAGCAUCACAAAAGAAGUGUAAUUGUUUUGAGGAACCAAGACGAGUAACUACAUUGGCAGUAUUCUCUAAGAAUUUUACCUGUAAAAGUCUAUGAUGUACACAUCAUAGCAUAGCUUGCCGAAGGGCGAUGGCUUCCAAAGUGAAAGGAUCAUAAAUGUGUGGAAAACAUCCUCCACCAACGAAUAACGUGCUUUGAAAUGCAUCACGAACCACGAAACCUACCGCUCCGCCUACUGGUGAUUUAGUUGCACCAACCGUUAUUUGGAAGGAAUUUUGACGAAUGUUUGGAGCUGGGCCUGGUAAAUAAGAUGAAUGUGACUAAACCAUUUUCAUCCUGCUUAACAUGACAUCCAUAUGAGUAAUAAAUUUUGAAAGCUGGUGGUUGAAUUGAGCUUGAAGAAUUUGAGGGUGAGGUUGAAAAUUGGAGAAUAGAACAGUAUUCCGCAAUUUCCAAAGUCGCCACCAAAAGAAAAUUAAUUUAUUUCGGGUUUCAGAUGAAGUUUUAGCUACUCUGUACCAUGAGACAUAAAAAUUUUCCGGGACAACAAUAUUUUGUGGUAUCUUUAAUAGGAUUACAAGGCGAUUGACAAGUUUGCAUUGGAGGAAGAGGUGUUCAACUGUUUCUUCCUUGAUACUUGAUAGUGCUAGGAUUUGUAGUAAUGAUCUAUCCCUAUCUACAUGCUUUCAAAGUGAAUACUAGCUUGUUUGUGCUUCAAUCCCGUGUGAUUUUGCGUUUUGGUAUUAUAUCAUAAACCUUUUCACUUGGACCGUUUCGGGUCAUUUGAUGUGUUCCUUUGUGGUAUUUGUUAUCCACCGGUACUUUAGAGAGAGGUGGUCUGGCUAUGGGGUUGUGGAUGCGGAAUAGAGCACGGUUGGAGCACAAACAGAAGGACGGUGCAAGAAAUGGUGAAGAAGAAGGGUUGCACGUCGUGCAUCACUACACCCCAUGCAACUCCUUAAAUUGAAAACCUCUCGUAGCAAAAAGGGGUGUAUGUCGUGCAGCCCCAGUUGCCGAAAAAAGUGUUCAUAGCAAAAAGAGGUCCACCUCAUGCACCCCUGCACAGCGCGCACCUCCCAAAUGCAGCAGUUUUCCUAUAAAAGGGCUGAUUUUGAGGAAAGAGAAAAGCAUAUCUUCUCCACCAAAGUUCCUUCUAUUUUUCCCCGACUCUCCUCUACAAAAACACCAUAUUUCCAUCCCUAGAUGUCCAAUUGAAGAUCCAAAGGAGUUUCCAUUGAUGAUUGAAGCUAGAAGAUCAAAAGUGAAGAUUGAUUCAAGUCUGAUUCAUUGUCUCUUCAUUAAGAUGGUGGUUAUGUCUUUUUCUAUUUUCUCUUUUUCUAGAGUCAUGAGUAGCUAAAUCCUUAGAGUUUUAUGUCGGGAUGUAGGAUUUGAGUCAUGAUACUCCCUAAAAGUAUAGGGUCGACGAUUGUUGGAUAUUUGGAAUUGAAUGAAAGAUUGCUCUAAUUGUUGGUAUUUCAACCUUGUUCUUGUUAUGACUUGAAUUAGGUCAAAUCUAUUAAAUCCUCUAUUUGAUCGACUUGGGAAUUCAUAUGAUUAUCAAUCUAAGAUAGAAGAAAGCCCUUGAUGGAGUAAGCCAAUAGCUCGAUUCUACCUUUCGUGCUUCUUUUGGUUUUAAAGGUUGUUCAUCGAGUAAUUGGCGGGCGCUCUGAUUUGCACUUAAUGGUUCAAGUUGGGUGUAGUAAUCAGUAGCUUAGGUGUUGAUGGACCAAGUUAACACUAAUUCCAAUUACUUGUGAUUUCCUUUAAUUCAAAGAGAGCACCUUACCACAUGGUAGAACUUCUCGUUGUUCAUUACUGGUUAGCUUAUUUAAUGUUAUUCUAACCUUGAUUGGGAAACUGGUAGUGAUAAUCCGCGUGCAUGAUCAUGCCACGGAUUCAUACGAGUGAUAAGAGGAAUCGUAUUAUUCAAUAAUAUUCAAUCCAAGUCCAACGUUUGCUCGAGCCGACUACUAUUAGGAAGUGGAGCUUGCUGAAUCAUCCCUUCCAAGAACUUGUCUUCUCCUCUUGAUCAAACCUUAAUUUUUAUUUUAAUUGGAUUAAUAGAAUCAUUAGAAACCCUUCUCCAUUUUUUCAGUUUAGACCGUGUUGACUAGUUUGAGUAAAAGCAUAACGAGAGGAAUCAUUGGACACAUACGAUGCUUGUAUUGUGAAUUGGUGAUAAUGGUAGAAGCCUAGGAUCUUUGAUUGUUUCUGGUAAUGCAAGUUGGUACCCUGAUUGAACCAAAUAUCCGCCAGAUUGUGUCAAGGGCCAGAUUAGUGUAUCUGCUAUUGGUGCAAAAGGUAGUGGUAUUGAUAGAAUGAUAUGAAUAACUUAUGGAUCUAUUAAUUGUUCUAAAACCCCAAUAAUCCAUUAUCCAUGAUAAAUGAGAUCACAAAUUCACAUGCCGGGAAAAUUACCAUUUAAAGGAUUUAAAGGUUUGGGUGGUCUUGCUGGAAACGUUGGGAGCCAAGGAUCAAGAAAUACAUAUACUAGUGUACCAGGACCGAUUUUCCAUCUUAAGCCUUGUAAUAAUAAGUUUCUUCCUUGUAAAAUACUUCUCCAAUCCCAUGAGGGUUUGUUUCCAAGUUCAGUUGUCAAAAGUGAAUCAGAGUGAAAAUAUUUACCUUGGUAAAGUUGAUAAAGGAUGGAAUUUGGAUUUUGUAGGAGGUUCCAGCUCUAUCAAGCUAACAAGGGAUGAUUUUUAAGCAUGAAAAUCUCUAAAUCCAAGACCAACAUCUUGUUUUUAUCCACAUAGAUUUUCCCAUUUUAGCCAAUGAGCCUUACGGAUAUCAUCUCGUUGAUCACACCAAAAAUUUGAAAGACUUUUGUGAAGACGUGCAAUAUUGUCCUUUGGUAGUAGAAAAAAACCCAUGGUACAAAUCUGGUAAGCCCGAAAGAAUAGACUUAACUAGUAUUUCCAUUCCAGCCGGGGAUAUGAAUGCUCCACGCCACGAUUUGAUUUUCUUGGUGAUAAUUUUCUCGAUGUAUUUGAAGGAUGUAAUUUUGGAUCGUUGGAGUAUAGAGGGUAACCCUAAAUAUCGAUCUUGAAUAUCCAUAAAACUGACACCCAGUAUACUAGUGAAUUGUUGUUGAAGCUCGGGCGUAGUUGCUUCACAGAACCGUACUGAUGAUUUUCCUAAAUUUACCCUUUUCCCACUAAAUCGUUGAUACUGGGCAAAAAGAUCCAACAAUGCUUGGAGUUCUUCUAUAGAAACUCGUAAGAAUAAGAAAGUAUCAUCUGCAAACAUCAAAUGUGAGACUUCUGGUGUGUAUGAAUUUAAUUGAAUUCCAUCAAUCAGUCCUUUGUUCAGUUUCUUUUGUAUAAUGAGAGGCAAUUCUUAUGAACAGAUAGCAAACAGUAAAGGGAUAGGGGGUCUCCUUGGUGUAGCCCUCGAGAUGACAGAAAAUAUCCAAAAGGCUGACCCCUAUAGAAAUGCAUGUAUAUAUCUAGUUGGUCCAUUUCUCGCUAAAACCUAUGUGUCGAGAAAGAGCAAUUAGAAAGGACCAUUCAACUCGGUCGUAGGCCUUUUCCAUGUCGAGUUUGAGAGCCAUGGAUUUUUGAAUGGUGUCUUUUGAUCGUCCAGAUAGAUAAUGCAUAAUUUCAUGAGCAAUUAGGAUGUUAUCAUUAAUCGAGCGUCCGAGGACAAAACCAUUCUAGGUGGGGCUAACUAUGGUUCGUAGUAUCGGGUUUAGUCUGGCCAUUAUAAUUUUAGAGAUUAUUUUGGAUAGUAUUGUACAUAAGCCAAUGGGUCUUAAUUGCCACAUAUUUUCUACGGUAGGAGCUUUAGGGAGAAGAGUUACCCAAGUAUGGUUUAUAGGUCAUAACAUAUGCCCAUUUUGGAAGAAGUCAAGAACUGCUUCUGCUAUCUCGGUGCCAACAAUAUCCCAAAGGGUAUAAAAGAAGACACCUAGAAAAUCAUUCGAUCUCGGAGCCUGAUCCCCACCAAUAUUAAAAACUAUUAAUAGAUUGUUAAUUUAUCAAGUAUUAAUUUAUAGAGGUUUUACUGUAUGUUUUUUUCAUCUAACAACCAGACGACUCAUGGUGUAGGUUCUGCAGAUGAAAUAUGCUAGCGACUAUGUGACUAGAUUCUAACAAAGACACACAAACUCACGUUCAGCCAUCUGGCGUAGUAUGUUGGCAGAUAUGCCAUGUAUGGUGGAUGGUUCCUGCGCGGGUUUAAUGGACGACCGCAACACACUACAAGAAACUACACGUUUACUAGCAGCUUUUUAUCUAUUUUAACAGCGGAUAGUCCACUGUUAGAAAUCCUAACGACGAAUUUUCAUCCGCUGUUAAACUAUAUCCGCUGUUAAAUUUUUUGUUUAGUAAUAAAAAAACGCAAAAACCUAGUCGUUCUUUGUUUUACAGUCUUUUUUUUCUUCUUCUUCUUCUUAUUAGAUUCUUCUUUUUAUUCUUAUUAGAUUCUUCUUCUUAUUCUUUGAUUUUUCUUAUUUUUUAAUUCUUCUUUGCUUUUUCCGUUCUUCUUCGAUUCUUCUUUUUUUUCUUUGAUUUUUCUCCUUUUGUUUUUUCAUCUUCAUUGAAAGAAAGAAAAUGAAGGAAAAACAUGAAGAAAAAAUUUGAAGAAUGGAGGAUGAAGGAGAUGGAGGGAAUAGAAAUCAGAGGAGGGAAAAUUUGAAAAUUUGUGCAGGAGGGAAAGGAUUAUGAAAAGUUGGCGAGGAGGGAAAAAAA